rnacentral:lncRNA from 1 species
GCAAGUGUAGUUGGUAGGUACUGAUGCUCAACACUGACACACUAGCUAUAGUUCCCAUGAAGAUCCGUGGCUUCCUACCAAUACUUAAUGAAUCCAGAACAAUCCAGCGCUACAUAUUCAGUUACUCCUUAGACUACAAUCCAAUCAAGAGACGAAUGAACAACCAUUACAUGAUUAGAAACAUAAACACUUCUAGAAUCUAAGUUAGGGAGUACCCUCUUGGGCUUAGGCAAUCACGAGUGAAGGUUAAGUUUCCUCACCAUGAUUAAAACAUGCUUUGCUAGCUUUGCACUUCUCAUUGUGCUUGUGCUUGGUGUUCUUUGUCUUGUCAAACUUAAGUCCCUCAUUAUUUUCCUUUUUGGCAGUUUUCUGAAGUUCCUACACUUAGGGCUAAGUCCCUUGUGUGAAAUUCCCUCUACUACAUAUGUGGAGCCAUGUGCUUUUGCAACUUCCAAGCACGUACUUUCAAGUUCAAGAUGACAUGAAAAGUCAUCAAACAUUUUGCUGUUCUCAUUAUGUCAUGUUGAUCUUCUUAUGUUCCCAUGAGUUAGGAAGGGAAUGAAUGCUAACUUAGACCAGUUGCUCAUCAGUGAGAUUUUUCCCUAUUACUUUCAAUUUGCAAAUCAUUGUUGACAUCAUUCUAAGAUGUUGCUUUAUAAUCCUAUUCGAGUGCAUCUUGUAUGGGUUAAACUUAAGGCUCAACAUGAGCAACCUAAAGAGAGGUUUGACCAAACUUAUCCUUAAGGACAAACAACAUAUCUUAAGCAGUUUGAUACCUCUCAAACAAACUGAUCAAAUCAUUGUAUAUGCUGCUUAACAUGGUAAAACAUGCACAAUGGUCCUUGUGCCAAUUUUGGUAGGUAACUAAUUGGGUAUUGUAUAAUGUUUCCUUGCUCAAGUUCAACCAUCAACUAAGUUAGGAUUUCUAGAACCUCUUGCUCAUUUAUGAGAGAUUAAUCUCUUGCUUUUAAUAUAUUCUCUCUAUUUACUUAUCAAAAAAAAAUUAUGAGACAUUUGAUCUUGCGAUGUUAAAUUAGCAAUUUUGUUUGUUCAAGAUUAAAAGAAAAACUAUAUUUAUAUAUAUAAAAAAAAAGAUUAAAAGAAAAACUAUGUUCUCAACCAUCUUUAGUGCACAUAAAUCCAUUACUGAUUUUUUACUAAAUUAUGCACCAAAAUGUCAUAGAAAGUUAUUUUCUAUGAUCUUUAUUUUAAAAAAAAUAAAUUUUCAUGUUUGCAAAUAAUUCUUACAAUAAUAAUUCACUUAAAUAAAAUGCUUGAAAAAUAAAUCCAAAAAUCAUAGAAUAAUUCCCAUAGUCCAAAAUAUUUACUAAUAUUCUUUGGAAUAUUAAAAAAUUGAGACAAUAAUUUUUAUACUAGAUUUUUCUUGAAAUAAUUAAAUUUAAUAAUUGAGAAAUUGUUAAAAUAAAAUAAAACACAAUACAAACAACUCAGGAAAAAUAUAAGAGGUCACUAAAAUGAUAAAAAAAACUAUCUUCAAAACAUUUUUGUUCAAAAGACAAGGUCAAAAGGCUCCACAUGCGCUCCCACUUAUUUAAAAAGACUAAGGGCUACGAAAAAUAGGGAAAAAAAAAUCCCAAAAAGCUAAGGAAAAUGGGAGUUCUCAUCCACCGAUGUGUUUAAAAAGGUCAUUGGAGGGUGCCUCACAAGCUGCCACAUGCUAGCAGUGUGCAGCAACGUGGUGAGCUUGGUAGGUGAGUAGGCAAUAGCAGCUCACAUUGUUGUGCCCUCUAUGUGCCUCCUUGGCACAUAGGUGCCAUGUGUCACUUUCCUGGCGCAUAGGUGUCAUGCGUCGUCUUCCUGGUGCAUAGGUGCCAUGCAUCGUCUUCAUGGCACAUAGGUCCCAUGUGUUGUCUUCCUGGCACAUAGGUGCCAUGCGUCAUCUCCCUGGUGCAUAGGUGCCAUGCGUCGUCUUCCUGGCACAUAGGUGUCAUUUGUAAUCUUCCUGGCACAUAGGUGCCAUUUGUCAUCUUCCUAAUGCAUAGGUGCCAUGUGCGCCUUCCUAGCAUGUAGGUGUAAAGCUCCUGCCUAGCAUGUAGGUGCAAAGUAGCUUCCUACCAGCCAUUAGAAUCUCAGCUGCUACCAAUCUCCUUCUCUUAAUCUUAGAAUUCCAUUGAUCUAUCUAUUUUCUGGUUUUGGUGCCUUGAACUCUGUUUGAAAAGCACUCGUUCUCUACUAAGAGCAGAUCCCCAUUUCUAGAAGAAAAAAAAAAAAAAAAUCCUAUUUUCCUUCAUUAGUUUACUUGAAUCUUUGAAAAAAUCAUGUCUUUCUUAAGUUUUGUCAAAAAAUUACAAGAAGUAUCUAGUUGGAAAGUUUACAAUGAGAGAUAUUUUUUUCAUUUAUUACUUUUAAAUAUGUUUGAGAAAGGAUCCAACCAGUAAUUAAAGUUAAUUUUCUUUUGUAAGCAAAAAGAGAAACAAAAUUUGCAUCGGAUACAAAUUGAUGCAUGGAAGACAGGAUUAGAUACAACCUGUGCUUUAAUACCACUAUUGGAAAAUUUAAUAUUAAAAAAAAUAUUUGUUUUUGUGGUUUGAACAUCAAACUUACAAAAAUGAGAAAUGUACUUCAAGAGCAAUUUUUCAUUAUGAACAACAAUAAUAAUAAAAAUAAUACUGCAAGACUUAGAUCUAGGUGAAUGGAAGAAGAGCAUAUACCCUAUAUUCGCAAUUUAAAAGUCUCACUUAAGACACAAAGGGAGAGAGAAACAACAGUUUGCAUGCUUUAAGUGUAGAGAAAAGAGGUGCCCCAUCUUUAUCAACACCAAGGGAGAGAACCUUGUAGAAUUAGAGGCAAACUCCCAUCAUUCAUCUCUAGUCAAUCACAACGCUGAUUAGAGAAAACAUAGGAAGGGCUUGGUGUCAUAGGACUUUGCCCACUUUGGGUGACUUUUGUGACUCAAACUCUCAAUUUCAAUUCACUAAAAAGAGUUAGUAUAUUAUAUCAUAUAAAAAUAUGUCCACUUCAUGAUAAUCAAUAUAAAUAAAACAGAGUAUGUGAUACAUAUUCCUUUUAUAAUUGGGUCCCACCAGAUGUAAAUCUAACAUAUUUGUAAUAUUUUUUAUUUUUUUUAUGUUGUGGGUUAUGUGAAGUGUUUGUGUUAUUCACCUUUGAGUUUUCAAGUUUUUAUAAAACACAUUUCACUUUUGUUAAGAAAUUUUUGAAAACAUCAGAUUGAUAUUUUUUUACAUUUUCCCUAUUUCAACUCAGUUUUGGAUUCGAUGUUCCAAACAAUUUUUAAUUUUUUUUUUAUAUUUGUCUGCAAAAAGGGAAAGGGAAAUAUUUUAAACAAAAAACAGGCUAAAAAAUCAAAAGCACUCAGCAGAAAUUGUUGUACUAGGCUUAUUUGUGUAUAGUUUUUUUUUUGGUUAUGAUUUAUUUGAGUGUAAUUGAGCACAGCUUUUAGUUUUUUCUUGGUCCAAAAAUUGUCUAAUAAAGGAUUUUUUUAACUUUAAUUUCAUCUAAGUUCUUAUGUUUUCCUGACAAUGAAAAAGUAAUGAUUGUGAGAUUCUAUGAAAUUGUUCGUCAUUAGAAUUUAAUUUUUGGAUUGUGCAGACUGGGCAGACUGUUGCCAUUAAGAGAAUUCGGCUUGGGAAUUACAAGGAGGGUGUGAAUUUCACUGCACUUAGGGAAAUCAAACUCCUUAAAGAGCUCAAGGACCCGAAUAUAAUUGAGUUGAUUGAUGCAUUUCCUCAUGAUGGAAAUUUGCACCUAGUGUUUGAAUUCAUGCAGACUGACUUGGAAGCUGUUAUUCGAGAUAGAAAUAUUGUUCUUUCUCUAGCUGAUAUAAAGUCAUAUAUGCAGAUGACAUUGAAGGGGCUUGCAUAUUGUCAUAAGAAAUGGGUUGUUCAUAGGUAUUAUAUGGUUCUUUUAUGGAGUUCAAAUCACCAGAAGUUCUUAGAUGUGUUCACAUGUAUAUGUAUGUGUUUGUUCCCAGUGUAUUGUGCUUUUGAUCGUUUACUAAUUUGUGUUCCAGAGAUAUGAAGCCAAACAAUUUACUGAUAGGAGAAGAUGGACAGCUUAAAUUAGCAGAUUUUGGUUUAGCACGCAUAUUUGGGAGCCCAAAUCGCAAAUUCACUUACCAGGUAUUAUAUGGAGUUCAUAUCAGAGAUUUCCUAAAUGCAGGGUCAUAUGCAGCAUACUUCUCUUAGUUUCUAGGGUCUGUAUUUGAGUGGUAGGUUUUGAACUGAGCUUUCUCUGUCAACUUGAGUUACUCUCUUCUGAAAGAUUUCUAUCUGGUGCCAACAUCAAACAUGUGGAACAGGAAUUUCUCUCUGGCCACUGGUAAAGACAGUUUUUUUAACACUAUAUAUGUUAGAAGAAAAGAUGCCUAUUGACUAGUAUUGUAAUUGUGUUUUUGCUUAUGUGAUGACUACUUACCUGCAUCUCUAAAAAAAAGGAAGGGAACAAAAAUGCAGUUUUCUGUUUAGAAGAAAGACAUGCCAUUUUGGCAUUGCUAGAAUCAAGAAAUGAGUGUUUGAUUAGGAUCACUAGCAUCAGAAGCUUGUAUGAAUUUUCUGUUAUUCUCUGCUUCAUAGAUUUAUGAUUAGGAUGUUAGAUUGCUAAUUUUUAGCUGUCUACUUUGUCAAAUUAACUUAUCUGCAAUUAUCUUGAAUAAUUAUUGGUUUGUAAAUUUGGCAUAAAUUGUAAGUAAUAUACCAAAAGCAUAAGAAAAAAGGAUUUACCACUGAAUAGAGGAUAAUGACCAUACUAGCAUUUUCUGCAAUUUAAACUGCAUGGCUGCUUCCAAAGAAGAGUUUCUCUGUGUUAGAUGGAUAUAGUGUCCAACAGAAUACUCCUGUGGAAGGCUUGGCACUUGUCAGAAAUGCUUGGGUUGUUGACAUCAUACACAAGGCUGACCAGCAACCAAGAUAGACUAAAUAUGUAACGAACCAAUAGGGCACAGUUAUUUUGUUUCAAAAAAUAAAAAAUAUUUUUGUAGAAAUUGUUUUUAUGAGAAACAUGUAAAUAAAUUGUUAGAGAGGAGAGUAGUAUUAGUAAUAAUAAUAUGAGGUUUGGGUCUGCUUGGAGAGUUUGAAGGAAUCGGCCAUGAAAGAUUCCUCAGUUAUCAAAAGAAAAAAAAAAAAUUAGAAUAAUAAUACUAAUAUGACAUAUAUUUAUCUAUUUGUGUGCCCUGGUCAUGUCCGUCCAUUCCCUGUUUCGACAAUUUUUCUUCAUCUGAAUGUCUCUAUUGUUUAUAUGCAUAUCCCAUUUCCCUGUUCAUGUGACAAAAUCUGCAAUCAUAUCAGGGAGGUCUCUAAUGAUAGUCUAAAAGAAUUCAUUUAUUUCUUAAAAUGAAAAUAAAUUAAUUUAUAAAAAUAAAAGUUCAAUACAAGAGCUCCUGCUCAAUUAGAAUUUUUAGGUAGUAUAUAAAGCUAGAACUUUUAGGAAAAGGAUGCCUCCUUUGGACUGAAUCUCUGGCUCCUCUCUUGUUGGAGGGAAUCAAAUAUUCAAAGACAGCAAAAGAAAUUGUGAUGUGAUUUCUUCAAGGGAUCAGUUUGCAAAUGUGGUGUCUUGAUUUUAUUGGUGAACUGGGUGGCAUAGGCUAGAAGGGAAGCUCUUUGUUUUUAUCAUUUCUAUAUUUCAUGACUCUCUGCUUUCUUUGAGGUUAUAUAUAUGUAGUUCCUAUAUACAUUGGCUACCUACCCUUUGGUGUGCCACAUAUUUACCUAAAGAUAAAAAGGGCAGCAAAACAAAGGAUGUCAGGAACCCUCCUGGCUAAUUAAUCUCAUAAAUGAUGAUAGCUGCCAUGCUGCUCUUGAGGCUACUGUUGGUGGGAUGGACUUCUCCAUUUUAGUUGUAGAAUGUGCUGAUUCAUUCCUAACAUGUCCUUAUCUCCAUGCUUCUUUAAAUAUAUUUUAUUUUAAUAAAUCAAAUCCUUUUGAGCAGGUUUUUGCUCGAUGGUACAGGGCACCUGAAUUGUUGUUUGGUGCCAAACAAUAUGGAUCAGGGGUUGAUAUCUGGGCUGUGGCUUGUAUAUUUGCUGAGCUUCUCCUUCGCAGACCCUUUCUGCAGGUGAAUCUUUUAAGACAUGGUGAUUUAUUUUAUGUAUGUUAUUUUCCUGUAUAUCUAUAUAUAUAUUUCCUCGGAUGGUUUUACAUGCUUCUUUGGUUGCUGUGGCUAAGCUUUUGUGGGACUUGCAAUGGUUGACUUUGAAUUUAAUUAAUAUAAUAAAGAGAUAAAAGAAAAGAGUAAUAUAUAAGUUGACAAUUUUACAUAUAUAAUUUUUGUUCUUCUUAAUUCAUUCAAAUCUGUUCCACAAGGAAUUCUCUAAUGACUUUGUGCAAGCCCUUCAGUAUCCUGAAUGCUGGGACAAGAAAUUCAAUUGUUUUUAGCAAUUCAACUGUUAUUUUUUGUUUUCUGAGGUGGUGUCGUCCUGAGUCACUUACAUCAUUUCACUAUAAAAUGAAUUAUUUUCCCCUAAAUGCUUUCUUUUUGAUAGGCAAAUUUCUCCUAAGUUCCUACUGCUGGUUUGUUAGUUCUUAAAAAAAUUUCUGAUAUUUUGUGUGAAGGAUCCUUCCAGAAGAAUCAAUCUAUUCUACAUUACUCAAGUAAAUCUAUGCUAUUACGAAAGAAGAUGGUGAGAUUCUCUCUCCUUCAUCUCUUCAAACAGUUAUCACCCAUUAAAAUACUUAUCUAACCUGUUUUAUUAAGAUAAUUAAUUUGAUAAAAAAAAUAAAAUGAUAAUUUACUUUGUGAGCUUCACCAAAAAUAAAUAAAAUAGAAUUAUAUUUAAAAUAUUAUCAAUCUAAAUUUCUAUUUUUCACGUUGUUUUCAAUAUAAAUCUUCUUUGUUCUACCGUCACAUAAAUGAUUGUUUCAAUGGCUGCAUGAUGUUUAGUUUUUGAAUAUUGAUCUCAUAACUUUAUAUUAAAAAUAAAACAUAUUAGCACACACAUUGUAUGUGUGUUGCAUCUUUUAUCAUACUAAAGAACAACGAAAGAGCUUUAGGGAAUAGGUCUCUAGAAACUAUGUUGCAUGCUACUGGUUAUAAAUCUUGAGUGUUGGUAUGUAUCUAAGUGUUAAAUUCAUUUUAUUUAGGACAAGUGGACAUAGCCAAAUACUCUUGUUUCUCUUAAAUAUCAUUCUAUCUCUUAGGCCAACUCUUAGGCCAAAUUGAAAUGUAUGACUAAGAUAGAAUCUCCAUCCAAGGGUAUCAUGAAAUAUGAAUUUAUUCUUUUCCUUUGAUGGGCGUGCCUAUUGGAUUACUAUCUUAGCAAUGGACACAUCGGAUACAUCCCGUACCUAAACCCAUGUCAUGUCCUAUUUGACAUGGGUACUUCAGAUACUUGGAUGUGUCCAUGUAACAUAUUCUGCAACUAUAGAUUUCACUUUCAAAACAUAUAUAUAUAUAUUCCUAAGAAUCAAUCUGGUUACAUCAAAGAAUUGGAGAAGUGGUUGAAGAUGCAUUCUGAAAAAUUUAUAACAAAUUUGCUGGUUUGAAAGAUUGCAAUUUCAGCAUCAUGUCUGGUGUCACAAGGAGGUAUUGAGGUUAGGUUUCAGGGUUUGUGUAUUUUGCUGUGGGUUGUGGGUGAAAGCAGGAUUCUCGCAAUCGACCACUUGGUACAGAGAGGCAAUAUAGUUCCUUGUUGCUGCUGCAUGAGAAAGAAGGCAAGGGAGUCUAUUGACUACCUUCUAUUACAUUGUGAAGGGCCUGGGAUGUGUGGGCAUUCAUAUUUGCUCUCUUUGUAGUUAGAUGAGUUGCUAUAGGUAAGAGCAGACAGCUUCUUAGGGGUAGACUUAGGAUGUUUAUGAAGUGGUUUCUUUUUUCAGGGAUGCCUUUUAAAUUACCACACUGAAAUAUUUAAUUUCAUAUUCUUUAUUUUAUUUUUUACUUUUUAUUUUUGUAAAAUACUUGAGUAAAAAUAAGUCCUGGGUCACUUGUGGACUUUGGACAUGAGGCAAUUAAUAGGUAGUUUCUUCCUUUCUUGUUCCUUUCUUGGCAAUUGUUGGCUUUCCAAUAUAAAUAAUGUGCUGCCCUGUUAAAAGAAAAGAAGGAAAAAAGAUAACUUCACAUAUUGAUCUCAUCACACAAUGUUCAAAUAAUUAUCGUAAAAAUAUUUUUCUUCCAAGCUGUCUAUAAUGAAUCUUAACCUGCAUUCUGAUUCAAGGGAGUGCCCUGCAUCCAAUCUUGUAAACAAAGGGCUAGGAUGUUAACAAUCCUUGGUUUCUCCUUUCUUUCUUUUUCUUUUGUUUUUUUGGUUGUUAUGUCCAUUUUGUCUUGUUUUUCAUCUUUUCUGUUAUUCUCACCUUCUAGCUUCCCUGAUAUGAUAGGUUGAAGUCCUCAUGAGCAUUCAUGUGUUCACAGGAAAAGCUUAGGAAGUUCAGACUGCACAAACACUUCUCCAACACUUCUUGGAUUUCCAUCUCAUGCUCUUCAUGUUUCAAUUUUGAAAUAAUAUUUUAUUAAUUUCAGAUACUCAGCUAACCUUGGUUGUCAAGCAUUAGGCUCAUAGUGCAGUUGUCAAGCAUCAACCUUGUAGUGGACAUCAUUGGCAGAGCCACAGUUUCAACUAUAAAUUUCAAAAAGAUGAAUGUAGUGGACCCCUGCCCAAAAGAAUGAGCAUUUGCUCUUGAGCUACACUAGUUAGUUUUCCAUUUUUUUGCACCCCUUCCCAGACGCAUUCCUAAAUCUUGUCUCCCCUAAAUUAUUUUCCUGGCACCGCCACUGUUGAUGCCAUGUGUGUUAUAUUUGUUUUAUUUUUUGUUUAAGAAGUUGCCAUAUUUAAACUACCUUGUCUUUACAUUCCCUUUAUAAAUGGAUGAAAAGCUUUAAUUCAACUAGUCUAAUUUUCUUUUCUUCUUUGAUGGGCAGGGAUCUAGUGACAUUGAUCAAUUAGGAAAGAUCUUUGCAGCAUUUGGGACUCCAAAACCUUCCCAGUGGCCUGACAUGGUUUGCCUUCCUAAUUAUAUGGAAUACCAGUAUGUUCCGGCACCCCCAUUGCGAACAUUGUUUCCAACUGCAACUGAUGAUGCUUUGGAUCUUUUAGCAAAGAUGUUCACUUAUGAUCCAAGAGCAAGAAUUUCUGCAGAGCAGGCACUGGAGCACAGGUUUGUAAUUAUAUGACAUCAAUAGGAAGGAUGACACUCAUUAUUUAUUUAUUUAUUUUAUUUUCUGCCCUAAUUUGUAUUCUGUUCUAGGUAUUUUUCUUCUUUACCGCUGCCAACUAAACCAGCGGAGCUUCGUAUACCUCCUCCAAAGGGGGAUUCUUCCAAUCCUGAACCCUUAGAUCUUAAUCAACAACAGAGUGGUCCAACUGUACUAUCACCAUCAAGAAAAUUGAGGAGAGUGACACUAGAUCAUGAAAGGAUUUGAUAGGGACAGAUAUCAGAGUUGAGAGUUGUUGAUCUUGUAAACAAUAUCAGACAUCUGGUCAGAGCACAUGCAGGAAUCAACAUAUGCCAGUGUCUAUGGGUGUCUGUGUGUUUGAAUGAAGAUAUCCCUAUAUAUCCAUAAUUUACAGGUAAUAUGCCAUUGAAAAUAUGAUAUUUUAUUCUCUGUACCAAUGGUCCAUCUCAGUAACUCAUCUAUGGAUUUGGGGAUCUCUUGUUUUAGCUUUAGCCUGCAUACUGCAUUAGUUGGAUUAUCCUAACCAUUCAUCAAUCUUAUUCUUUUUGCACUUCAAAUACUUGUACUACUAUAGGAAGGCUCCUUACGGCUGAUCAGGGGGAUUUACUAGAACCCUUAUUUGAUAUGUUAAAUGGAGCUAGAUUAGGGACUCUUAUGAAACUAGUUUAAUCUGUAGUCUUCUCUAUCAUAAUUUCUGUCAUAUGUGCUCUCUCUCUCUCUGUCAUGGAGUUAGAUUAGUGGUUAUUAUGAGUGUCAUCCUCCCCAUUGAUAUCAUAAUUAUACAGGUUGUUGAGGGGCGGUCAGCACCCUGAGGUUUGGGUCCCCAUAGAGAGUCCUAAAGGCUUGGCCAUAGAAGGUUCCUCGGUUGUUAAAAAAAAUAAAAUAAAAUUAUGAGCUAUACACAGGUUAUUGCUACAGCCUGUUAAGUAACCCUUGCUGGGAUUGCUGUGGUUAGAGUCCCUUUAACCCUGUGAAGUUUAUGGGACUCUGGGACAGAUGAAACAAAACCAUUUCAAUUCCCUUUCCAUAAAUUUGAAUGCAGAAAAACCCUCUUGUUUCCCUUUGUUUUGAACACGGUCACUAUUAGUAGAAGAAAUGAAAGAAAAAUAAAGGUCAAGUUGAAAAGAAAAUAACAAAUGGUGCUGUCAUAUGAAACAACAACAGAGGCUUGAAUGGUAUGAUAUCUUCAAACCCUAAAUUCAUCUUCUUGCUCCCUAGGUCUGGAUCAAUCCAGGAGAAGUAGUUGUUUGUUACGCUUGAGUUAUUUAGGAAAGUCCUGGAUACCAAAAGUAAUUGUCAAAUCUGUUGCAUUGUCCCAAGAAAGAAGGGUAUGUUUCAUGGGAUACUAAUCAUGCUCUUUGUUGUAUCUUCCCUUGGCUUCUUACCUGCAGGCGGCCGUUCUGAUGGAUGACAUCUCAAGAGAGAAGUGGAAGUGGAAUUUCCGCAUACAGUGGGGACCUUAAAGGAGGUAAUGACUCUCAGAUUCAACUCUCUACUCAAGAGACUUGCGCACCUUGGUUUUGAAUAAUGUGGACCAAUUCAUUAUCAUACUCAAUAUACAUUUUUAUGUUGUACUGGGUCAUUAUGAAUUCUAAAUGAAGAUCGUCUUUCCUCGUUCCGGACCUUGCUCAUGCCUUCCUACAUGUAUGAUGUAACCCCGCAUUUGCUUAUUUUAAUGGUUGAAAAUUGCCAACUUAUUAAUGAUCAAUAUCAGGAUCCUGGGGGCUGGGGGCUGGCUUGUUUCAUUGGCUUCUGCUCUUUCUCUGUUUAACUAAUACAUUUAACAAAGGCAAUGCUAUCUCUUUCGUUACUAGUUUCCAUGGUCCUUUGUGGGGUAGUCAAUAAAGAAGUACGGUUAAAAAGGUUUAUUUUAAGCUACAUUACUUUAGAAAGAAAUUUUUGGAGUACGAUUUUCCAGGGAUAUAUAUUUUUUAUUAUUUUUAAAAAUAAAUUUUUUUGUAUCAUUAAAAAUAUAGACAUAUCUUAUAUCUUUAAAAAUUAUUUAAUUUUUAAAAUUUGAGAUAGUAUUUUUUAUAUAUAUAUAUUAAAAUCUGGAUAAAUGAGUAUUUGAUAAAUUAAAAUCUUUUGGGGUCCAAACUUGAAUCAUUGUACUAAAUUACUAAUCUUGAUAAUAUACCCAGACAUAAUAUUAAGUAUUAUAAAAUAAGGAAAUAAAUUAUAGAGUAAAGGAAUAUUGCAAUAUGAAAGAAAAAUUCUUAUACACAUACAUCAUUUUUAAAAUAGUUCAUAAUAAUAAUAAUAGUAAUAAUAAAUAAUGUAUUCCUUAAUUUCACCAUCAUUUUUAUUUUUCUAUCAAAAUAAUUUAAAGAAAUUUAAUUGUAAUAUUUGGUUGGUAUUAACCAUUUAAUGAAAAAUUGGUUCUUGUAAAUGAAUAAACUAGAUUUUAUUUUGAAUUAUAAUUUUAUUGUAUUAAAUAACUAAAAGUAAAGAAUUUUAGUCAAAUUCAAUUUUAAUAUAAAUAAUGAUUUAAUAAGCCCAUAAAUAAACUAAAAUUGGGUUAUUUAUUUAUUUAUUUAGAAUUUUAAAUUUAUUCAAUGAACGAGCUAAUGAUAAAAAAUUUCAUUUAAAAAAAGACAAAAUUAAUAAAAAAAAAUUAUUUAAUAAUAAAAAUCUUUAUUUUAUUUUUUUAACCAACACUUAGAAGUACUUUAAAUGGUUAAAAAAACAUUUUUGAUCAUAAUUUCUAGGAGCAAAUAAAGAACAGAAGAAAAGGAGGGGAUUUGUUUACUCUCUUCCAAGACCUUAUACCUAUAAGGACCACCCCUAAGCGUACAUGUGGCAAGCCACCCUAGACUCAUAAGGCACUCAUCCGAUGGACACGUGGCACGUCCUACCCUCCUUCCAGACGUUCAGUCCGGACCUAGUAGUUGUCGUCCCAAACAAGAUCCCAUUUCGCAGGCAAUCAUUACUCAUUUUGUCAAAAGCAUACUCGAUAGGACAUUCCCGGGUCUUUUCCAACGACCUACCCUGCGCCGCCUGUAGAGUGAAAAGACAAGUGGGACAACAAGUCAUCCCCCCAACAGUCUCUGUCAACCGCUUGUAGGAUAAUGAUGGCUCUGCCACCCUCUGAGCGCCAUCAUGAUUGUGAAAGUCAAAGAGCCUUCCAUCUUCAAAGUGACGGGGCUUCAAACAUUAUAAAAGGCCCUCGACGACCCAGUCAAAAGGAGAGGUAAGCAUUCCUUAUAAAUGCCCAAGAAUACCAAUAUGCUUAAUUGCCAAACUGACAAAAACUUCAAAGGAUGUGUCCGGACCACCUGUCUAGACAUCUUCUAUAGGGAAAUGGAAGGAAACAUCAUUCUCAGUUGAGGGGGCGAGUACUUCAGGGAGCUACAAUGACUCUAGGUGUUCCCCGCAUCAACAUUGUCGUCAUCUAUGGGAAAAACAUUUGCGAAGAUGUCCACACCCUCUAGAAGUCGUUCAUCAACCAUGGGUGAUGAGGGUUAUUUUGACUGGCACGAAAGCAUGGAAAUAUGACAGUUAGAAAGCGAGUGGCAAGUGCAGGCCUUGCUCCAGGAAACAAGGAGGCUUAGGGAAGAAAACGAUGUGUUAAGAAUUCAGGUUUCAUCCUCGGGACCUCCUCGCGACCAACGACUGAGAGGCUAAGAGACAAACUUUAGACAUAACCAGGAGGCUACAUAUCCUAGGAUCACAGAGAUCGCCCUUGAUAUGCGCGAUGAGUGGCCUAACAAACGACCCUUACCUACGUAUCGCGCUCCGCAUGAUGAAAGCUUGGACUCCACUUGUGUCUCAUCAAAGAGACAGCGCGACAAUAUACCCCAGUUAUCUAACACAAUGUGUGCAAGGUUGGGACCGCAAGCACCUGGUAAGGAUAGGUCACAUGCAGCCGCGACCCAGGAGACAUAUCCUAGUCCCUCAGCCGCACCUAUCACAUGAGGCAAUCCCCCACACCAAGCACUACGACAAGUCGAAGGAAAUUCAGCAAAUGAGCACCCUCUUGGGCUCCAUCAGUAGGUGAUUGGACGACAUGCUCUCCACGUCUUUUAGCUCUCGUAUUAUCAAUUAUGAGCCCCCAAGAGGGUUUCUUGUGCCAAAAUUUUCUGCAUAUGACGGGUCUAGCGAUCCGUUUGAUCACAUCAUGCACUACCGACAACUCAUGACUCUCGACAUAGGAACGAUGUGUUAUUGUGCAAGGUGUUCCCUGCCAGCCUCCAAGGCCAACCCUCAUGGUUUCAUCGACUCCCUAUGAAUUCUGUUGAUAGCUUCCGGGAUCUAUCAAAAGCCUUUGUGGGACAAUACCUAUGCUCCGCGUGACAUAAACAGAAUAUUAGCACUAUGCAAAACAUAAAAAUGCGAGAAAAUGAAUCCCAGAGGGAGUUCAUGAAACGAUUUGGACAAGCUGUACUAUAAGUAAAAUCCUACAGCAUGGACACUGUCCUCCAAAUUUUUAAGCGGAGCAUAUGUCUAGGCACACCAUUCUUUGAACCACUCGCCAAAAAACCUCUCACAACUAUGGACGACUUGUUCCAACGUGCAAACAAAUACUCCAUGCUGGAAGAUAACGUACGCGCAGUCACUUAACAAAUCCUGGUUACCGGACAGCCGGCCAGGAGCGACGCAACAAGAGGCUCCAAACCUCCGAGCCAGCAAAGGCUACUCAAUCGUAGGCAAGGUGAGCAAAGUCAGUCGGAUCUGUCACCGCUUACACUUCUUACCGUGUCAUAUGAAAAGCUUCUCCCAAUGAUCCGCGAGCUGUCCAACUUUAGGUGGCCUGAACCGCUCAAAGCGGACCUAGCCAAGAAAUAUCACAAUAGGAAAUGUGCUUAUCAUAAAGAGCAUAGACAUACUACAGAGUAGUACAGGAGUCUUUAUUACUUGGUGGAAAAGCUCAUAAGAGCAGGACAUCUAAAACAAUACAUCCUCUUAAGAGCUAGAGGAGGAGAGACAUCCCGAAGUCAAGCCUCAGGAGCCCCCUCAGCCCCGAUCGCCCCUAGGGUCGUGAUUAACUAUAUUCAUAGCGGGUCCCUGGAUGAGGAGUAUGACUCCAAGCGAAAAAGGCAAAGGCUGCUGUGAGCCGCUUCGGUCCGUGAGCGUGUUAACUCCAUCCGACCUAGAUUAACCAGUGGGAGCACCCACCCAAUAGAUGGGACAAUCAUUUUUCCUCCAAUAUACCCCAUAUGGAUAUUGCAACCACACCAAGAUGCCCUUAUCCCAUCUCUUGGGAUUGGAGACUUUGACGUAAGACGGAUUUUGGUCAACCCGAGCAGCUCGGCGGACCUCUUGCAAGUAUCAGUAGUCAAACAAAUGGGACUUGUGCCUUCCAGCCUAGAAAACCCAAGGCGGGUUUUGUCAGGAUUCAAUGGAGCCUCAACAACUUUCUUGGGGGACGUUGUGCUACCAGUCCAAGCAGGCCCAAUCACCCUUAAUGUGCAGUUCCCAAUAGUGGAAGAUUUAUCCCCCUUCAACGCCAUUUUGAGACGCACCUGGUUGCACUAUAUGAAGGCUAUUCCUUCCACGUACCAUCAGAUGGUGAGCUAUCUCACUGAAGACGAACAAAUUGAUUUAUAUGGUAGCCAGUUGGCGGCCCGUCAAUGCUAUCAGAUAGCACGGGAGGCCGGGUCCAGUGGAGAUUGCAAGCCGUCCCCAGAGCAAGCAAAUGCACCCGACCAAUAGCAAUUACAGUACCCGGCGGAUAAAGAUCCCCUGAUGGCAGAUCAUUUGCAAACCAUCCAAGUCUCAGAGAGAAAAGAUAGUCUCACUUAUGCUAGUCCCCUCUUGAAACCCAGUGAGACGCGAAACAUCUAGGAGACGUUCCAGCAAAACCAAGAUGUUUUCGCAUGGGCCCACUCCGAUAUGCCUGGAAUCCACCCAUCGACUGCCUCCCACCGGCUUAACAUCUUGCCCUCAUCAAGACCUGUUCGGAGAAAAGUCAGGCGAUUUCAUCCGGAUAGACAGAAGAUCAUUCAGAGUGAGGUGAAUAAGUUACUGGACGUCAGAUUCAUCAGGGAAGUUGAAUAUCCGGAAUGGUUGACAAAUGUGGUGGUAGUCCCCAAAAAGGAAGGAAGGUGGCGAGUGUGUGUUGAUUACACCAACCUCAAUAAUGCAUGCCCAAAAGAUAGCUUUCCGUUGUCGCAAAUAAACCAAAUAGUGGACUCCAUUGUCGGGCAUGGGAUGCUCUCUUUUCUAGAUGCCUUCUCCGGAUACCAUCAGAUCCCUAUGGCCCCGGCGGACAAGGAAAAAACUGCCUUUAUAACGCCACAUGGACUUUAUUGCUACAAAGUCAUGUCGUUCGGACUCAAAAACACUGGUGCCACCUACCAAAGACUGAUGACAAAGAUCUUCAAGCCCUUGAUUGGUCGCAUGGUGGAAGUAUACAUUGAUGACAUAGUAGUCAAAAACAAAACCAGAGAAGAACAUACCCACCAUUUGCAAGAAGUCUUCCACUUGUUGAGGAGGUAUGACAUGAGACUUAACCCGUCCAAAUGCGCCUUCGGUGUAAGUGCAGGAAAAUUUGUGGGGUUCAUGGUCACCCAAAGAGGAAUAGAAGUCAGCCCGGAUCAAAUUAAGGCGGUCAUGGAAACACCCACCCCCAGUAACAAAAAUGAGUUGCAACGCCUCACUGGCAAGCUUGUCGCGCUAGGACGUUUCAUAACCCGAUUCAUAGACAAACUACGACGUUUCUUCCUAGUGUUGAGGAAAGCCGACAUGACUGGAUGGACGGAUAACUACUAGAGUGCGUUCAAGAAAAUCAAACAUUACCUCACACAACCACCCAUCCUGAGUAGCCCUUAGCCUGACGAGCGAUUGUACAUGUAUAUAGCGGUAUCGGAUUGGGCGGUUAGUGCUGUCUUGUUUCGCUGUCCAUCACGCAAAGAACAUAAACCUAUUUAUUAUAUCAGCAGAGCGAUGACCGAUGCGGAAACAAGAUAUUCAAAGAUAGAACAGAUUGCCUUAGUCUUGCGAAGCGCUGCCCAGAAGCUCCGCUCGUAUUUCCAAGCUCACCCAAUAGUCGUACUUACCGACUAGCCCCUCCGAAACAUCCUGCACAAACCGGACCUGUCCAAAAGGAUGCUACAAUGGGCCAUAGAUUUGAGCGAGUAUGGGAUUGAAUACUAGCCUAGACUGUCCAUGAAAGGGCAAGUCAGGGGGGAGGGGGGGGGGGAAUCGGACAAAAUAGAGUGGUGGACCUUAUGAGCUGACGGAGCCUCCCGGUCGUCAGGUUCUGGAGUGGGUCUGCUGCUACAAUCUCCAACUGGCGAACAAUUGGAGCAGGUCAUCAGGCUCAGAUUCACCGCAUCAAACAACGAAGCUGAGUACGAAGCCAUUCUGUCUGGAUUGGACCUCGCACUCGCACUAUCCAUCUCUAAGCUCAGAAUUUACAGUGAUUCUCAGUUCAUUGUGGGACAUGUGUAAAAAGAAUACGGAGCCAAAGACGAACGCAUGUCCCAAUACCUGACAAAGGUGCGCGACACCCUGAAGCAGUUGGACGAAUGGACUAUCAAAAAAGUCUCCCGGGCAGACAACAUACAGGCAGAUGCCUUGGCAGGAAUAGCUACCUCACUUUCCAUAAGAGAAGCCAUAUUGCUGCCCAUACAGGUGCAGGCUAAUCCCUCCAUCGCACAAUCACCCGCUUGCAAUGCUAUCAAAGAAAGCCAGGAAUGGACGAGUGUCAUAAAGGAGUACCUCCGGACAGGCACUUUGCCUGAACUGGAUGCUAUCUAUUUCACUGUCCAUCAAUCAUCUAGCUCAGACCUGCUAAUGUCUCUUGAAUAGAGUCAUGGUGACUGUAAGUCGAUUAACAUGCUUAGGAUCCAUACUUGAUUGCUUUGAAACCCUGAUCAAUCUAUCUCCAACUCUGAUCUAAGAAGUCGAAUCUAAACUGAAGCGAAUAACCCUCCUAUAAGGUACAAAGGCACGAAAAGAUAAAUGACAUUAAGGAAACUCAGAAGAUGUGGAAACACACUAAUCAUGAUGCAGAAAAUGUGGCCCAACUAAAACUCAAACAUGUACCAAUCUAUGAGCACACCAAAAGGAGACCAUGAAGAGGAUAAAUGAACCCAAUUAUGACCAAGGUAGCUCUGAAGGUCCACAUAUGCACCCAUGUGUAGGAAUGAAAUCUUAAUUGGGUCUAGGCUAACCUACAAGGUUAAGGUGGCUCUAUAGGAUGAAAUGGGUGGGUUAAAGGAUCCUUAGCAGAAGAGAUCGUACCCUCUGAUGGUACGCAACCCUCUGCAUGCCUCCAAGGAGACGGGGUGUUUCCAUGCAAGGUGGUCAUCACCUCCACACAUGCACUUCCUCGCGUUCCUAGGGGGUUUCUUAAAAGUGAAGGCUCUCCCAUCUCUCAACACUCAGGGAUAAUCUAAAGUGCACAAUGAAGGAUGUGGGUGCAUCCAAAAAACCUAAGAUUUAAAGUGAGAUAGUGAACAAAGACAAGCAAUCAUACAAACAUGCAAGAGAAAGGGUUGUCAUGCAACAAGCAGUCAUACCAAGCAGAUAAGUAUCAUACAGUUAAAGUCCUAUCUAGCAUAUGUGAGAGUGAAUCAUACUGAAGUGAGCAAGCAAUCAAGUGCAAUCAAACAUGUUAAGAUAACAUACCAAACAAGCAAGCAAACCAAAUCACCUUGCCUAAAAAAAAGGGUACCCUCUAAUCGACCAAUUAAACGCCACAUUUUCCUCAAAUAGUAUUCAAGCUUGAUCCUCAAAAUCCUUAGUGGCGUCACCAAUUUGUGGACCCGCAUUUUUCACGUGCAUCCCCACUCAAUCGGCGAGACUCGUUUUUUAUUUGUGAAAAAUUAAUAUUUGGAAAAAAAGUCGGAGUCGCCACUUAUUUUAUUUUUAUUUUAAAGGAAAAAUAAAACAAAAAAUAAAACCCUAAAAAAAUGACUUUAUAAAUUUUGGAAAAACGUGUCUUUGAAAAACCUUAGUCUAGGUCUGGGGAUUAGGUUACUUAUUGGGAAGGUAUCUCUAGGAGGUAGCACCACUCUAAGCCCUAAAGAGGUAUCUACUGACUAAAUUGGGGGAAAUGUGGCAAUUAAUUGAGUAAUUGAAGAUACCUAGAUAGAUUAAGGUGAUUUCAAAAAUAACAUGCCAAAUAGGAUCAAAUUACAAUAAAGGAGAGUUAGGGCGCAUACUUGGACUGCUUCUUAAGCGUCAUCAAAAGACAUCAAUGAUUAGUUUGGAAAAUAAAACACACAAUAUAUAUUUUAUCCUAGUCUCUUAAUCAAACAUGGCAAGCUAAACAAACAAUCAAAAAGAUAUGCUGAACAGGUUGAAAAUCGCAUACGAAGCAAUACAUAACGAUCAUAUAUAAAGCAAUACAUAAUUUAUGGAAUUCAGAUAUGAAGGUAAGAAGCAUACCUGAAUAGCAUGGGUAACUCGUAAUGUGCUUCCACAAGACAUGAGGGGUUAGAUAAUAAAUAAUAAGAUAAAUCCUAGCAUGCUUGUUAUCUAGUUAGCAUAGCAAAAAUUAUCAGAGUAUACUAAUUCAUCAGUUAUCACAUAAGUCUUGUAUAUAAUUCCUAAAAAAAAUAAAUAUGAUUGUAACAACCAACAAAAGUGGUAGCAAAAAUAAGUUUUGAAAAGAUUUUUUUAUGUAGGGGUUUCAUCAAUUCCCCAAUUGAUAUACACAAAUCUAACCUAGAAUUAUCCCAUUUAUGUGGGACCACAAGUUUGGAUUCGUGUCUAAUUUAAAACCAAAAUUUUCAUUAAAAAAAAAAACAGAGAAAGAUGCAAACCAAUAAAAAAAAAAUGGUUGCAUAUUAUUUGAAGAAAAUGAGAUUUUUGAUUCUAAGGACUCUAAAUGAAUUUUUAAGAUAGAUUUUUGUAAGGAACAUUUUGAGAAAAGUAUUUUAUUUUAAAGGGAAAUACAUUAUUCACAAACAAACAAUUUGCAAAGAUCAAAUAUAGGCAACCCAAAAUAAAGCAAAAUCACAAAGUAAAAAUUUUCUCAGUAAUCAACAAGACUAAUAAAGGUGAGGGUAGAGGUCAAUCUUCAUGAUUUUCCAAUGACCUCUAAAAAUUAAACUUCACAAAAAAAACAAAAAAAAACUAUCAAAGCAAUAAACUAAAUGACUUUAGAUCAAAUAAAAUUAGAAGAUAUUAAUCAAGAAUUAAAAAUGGGGAAUCGAACACAAAAGAAUAAUCAAAACUAACAUAAGAUCAAUUAAGCUAAUUAACUAAAAUUUUAGAGAAACAUAUGAACUAAAUUAUGAUCAAUCCAAGAAUGAAAAUUUAUAUAUUUAAGAUAGAAAUAAUACAACUUAAGAUCAAUUAAACAAGUUAUCUAAAGCUUUGAAAAACAUACAAACUAAAAGUGGAUCAACCAAGAAAUAAAAUUAACAAGUUCAGAAUAUGAAAAUGACAUGGAACCAAUCAACUUAAACAAUUCAAGUCCUAAAAACUCAUGUACUAAAAAGAUGAAUAAAAAAUAAGAUUAAUAUUUAAAAACAUGAAUUCAAUCACAUAGGAUCAAUUAAACUAAUAAACUAGAAUUAUAAAACCACUUAAACUAGAUAACAUGAAUCAAAAUAAGGAUAAACAAUUUUAAAAGACAUGAGAUUAAUUACAUGGAUCAACCAAAUUGAUAAACUAAAAUUCUAAAAAAAGAAAAAGAAAACCUAAACUAAAUAGAUAAAUUAAAACAAAACUAAAACAAGGUUAAAAACAUGAACUUUAUCAAUAGAAUUGAUUAAAUUAAUGAACUAAGAUUAUAUAAAAAAAAAUGCAAACCAAACAAAUAAAUUGCAAUUAAACUAAAACAAGAUCAGAAGCAUAAAUUUUAUCAAUAAAAUUAAUUAAUCUAAUAAACUAAACUAAGAUUAUAAAAAUACAUCAACUAAAAAGAUGGGACCAAACAAAAUCAAAACUCGUUUUAAAAAAUAAACUUUACUUCACAAAUUACUUAAACUAAGGAAUUAAAGUCACUAACACACUCAAAUUAAAUCAUAAACUAAAAUUAAGUUAAUCCGGAAUUUAAAAAAAUAAACUUUACUUUACAAAUUGCUUAAACUAAGGAAUAAAAGUCACUAACACAUUCAAAUUAAAUCAUAAACUAAAAUUAAGUUAAUCCGGAAUUUUAAAAAAUAAAUUUUACUUCACAAAUUACUUAAACUAAGGAAUUAAAGUCACUAACACAUUCAAAUUAAAUCAUAAACUAAAAUUAAGUUAAUCCGAAAUUUUAAAAAAUAAACUUUACUCCACAAAUUACUUAAACUAAGGAAUUAAAGUCACUAACACAUUUAAAUUAAAUCAUAAACUAAAAUUAAGUUAAUCCGGAAUUUUAAAAAAUAAACUUUACUUCACAAAUUACUUAAACUAAGGAAUUAAAAUCACUAACACAUUUAGACUAAAAGAUAGAUUAAAACUAAACUAAUUCAGAAUUAAAAUACGAACUUUAUCUAACAUGAUUAAUUAAACUAAACAUAGAAGAUAGAUUAAAAUUGAAUUAAAUAAAAAAUAAGAACAAGAACUUUUCUAAUAGGAAUAAUUAAACUAACGAAUUAAAAUCACAAACACAUCUAAACAUAUACAAUAGAUUAAAAUUGAACUAAAUUGAAAUUAAAAAUAAGAACUUUUCUAAUAUGAACAAUUAAACUAACGAAUUAAAACAACAAACACUAAACAUAAAAGGUAAAUUAAAAAUGAACUAAAUCAAAAUUAAAAACAAAAACUUUUCUAAUAGAAAUAAUUGAACUAAUGAAUUAAUAUCACAAACACAUCUAAACAUAAAAGAUAUAUUAAAAUUGAACUAAAUCAAAAUUAAAAAUAAGGACUUUUAUAAUAGAAACAAUUAAAUUAAAGAAAACUACAAACACAUCUAAACAUAAAAGAUAAAUUAAAACUAAAUCGAAUUGGAAUUAAAAAAAGGGAACUUUAUCUAAUGGGAUAAAUUAAACUAAAGAAUUAAAACCACAAAAACAUUCAAACUAAAAAAAGAAAAAUAAAUUAAAACUAAAUCGAAAUUAAAACAAGAAAUUUAUUAUAUAGGAUUAAUUAAAUCAAAGAACUAAAAUCAUUAAAACACUCAAGACUAAAAGGAUGGAUCAAAAUGAAAUAAAAAAUAAAUUUGAAAACAUACACAGGUAUAAACCGUUGUUUGUGGAGAUUUUGUGGGCUGCUCCCCUCUUUUUUAUGGUUAUGUGUCGGCUCCUCAAAGUUCUUCGCACGUCUUCUCAAAAGAAUUGCUCUCCUAUCGAUCUCCAAAAAAUUUCCUUAUGUCCUGAUCUCUAAAAAAAAAUCUCCUUGCCAAAGAAAAGAAAUCCUAUCUCUCUCUGCCCCUUCCCCUUUGAAAAAUCCUCUUUAUGCUUGGAUUCUCUCCUUUAUUUAUAAGGCAGCCCAUUCCUUAUGGAAUAUCUUAUUUCCUUUUGGGAGAUGUGCGUGGAUAUGGGAAAGUGCAUGCAUGUGGUUCACAUUGGAGACUUCCCUAAGGAUGCAGCCACAUCUCGUUUGGUAAGUGAUUAAAAUUGACUUUUCUUUCUAAAAAAAAACAAAAAGAAUCCCCCUUACAACCCACUAUAUGUGUGUUGUGCACAAAGUGGCCACUUCCUUUCUAUUUUUGUUUUUCCUAGAUAUUGUUUCGGUAUAGGUGAUUAAUGAAGACAUUGCCUUGGAGAAUCAAGAAGUAAGUAUCAACGAUGAUUUUCCCUGAAGAGUGGUGAGCCACAUCGUCGACGGAAACGUAUCCAGCAAUGGCGGUGGCGUCGGUGGUGAGCCACGCUGUUCUAAUGAUAGAACGAGAGGGUGAAUACCAGUUGUUGGAAGUAUCGACAUGUUUGGUUUGAAACGAAAAGGAUCCUCUAGCGGCGAACUGGGAGAGAGCAGAUCCAGCGAUGCAAAACAGACGGCGAUAGUUAACGUGAACGACGACAAGGCGCUGGUGGUCGUGACGACGUCGCAUCGGCCAACACAAGCUUCGGUUCUUUGGGUUCCCUAGAGGACUUUAUUUUCCCGUCAAGUGAGUUCCAUAUGAAAACUCGUCAUUUUCCAUGGAAACAAACAAAAACAAAAUUAGUCAACACAACUCCCAUGAACUGAUUUUCCAUCAUUAUCUCUAUCAUUUUCUCUCUUUUCCUCAAGAGGGGGUUGUCGAAUUAUUUCACAGGAAGAUCAAAGUCGUUUUCAAAUCUGUCAGUCAUGAACACGGUGACAGAUUUGCAGAAGGAAGGGCACCCAUUCCACAAGAGGAGAAGAACCCCAAUUGCAAAAAAGGACUUCUUGGUGUUGGUGGCGGUGGAGACGGUGAUGGUGAACCAUGUCGGUAGUUGUGAACUUCCCUUUUUGGUACUGAAUUCAAGAAAAACGCCCCCUCCUCACGUGAUAGCCCUCACUAAUUUCAUAUUUCUCCCUUCACAAGAGCCACUCAUCCCAAAUUAUGUAAUUCCACCUCCUCAUGCAAAACAAAAUAAAAAUUAAAUAAAAAAAACUAAUGAAAAUUAUGAGAUUGGUAAUAAAUAAAAUAUGAUUUAAAAGAAAAGAAAGGGAAAAAUGAGAGACCAGAUUAUAUAAUUCCAUCAUUCAAUAAGGGGUCGUAUGCAUAUUUAAUGUCUAAACAAUUCUAACAAUUCUUUAUUAAGUAGGUAAACAAAUGAAAGAAAGAAAAAGAAAAAAAGAAAAAAAACGUAAUAGAAAUUUAAAAAUGAAUAAAUAAAUAGAUGAAUAAAUAAAUAGAUGAAUAAAUAAACAAAUAAAUAGAUGGAUAAACAAAGCAAAUAUAAUCAUCAAAUGGAUGCAAUAAUGAUUAAGAGAUUAUAUAUAUAUAAAAAAAAAUUGAGCCCCAAUGAAGUGUUUAAGCGGGCUUAAGGUGAACCUAAGUGUACCUAAGUGAACGUAGGUGAGUCUAAGGUGUCUAAAAGGGCCCAAAAUGUCUAAAUUAGCCAAGAGUGAUGCCUAAGUAGACCUAAAAGUGCACCUAAGAGCUAUCCUAAAAAGGAAUGAAAAGCUUAAGUCUAAAUCAAAACUGCUAAGGGUCACAAUAAGGGGUUCGACAAUCCCUCAACCCUCCGAGGUGGCUCAAGAAAGGUAAGUAGUGUGAGUAGCUAUGGGCCACCAAGGAACUACUGUAAAGUAUCGAACAAGUAUCUAAUAGGACAUGGGCUAGGAUGACAAAAUUAAGGGUCUACACCCCUACCUCAAAUGCUUAGACCACUUGGAAGCCCAAUAUGUGCUAAUAGAAUUACAUGAAGGUGUAUGUGGCAACCACUUAGGAGGACGAUCUUUAGCACAUCGCGCCCACUCACAAGGGUACUACUGGCCCACUAUGAAGCAGGACGCGGAAGCUUAUGUUAAGAAAUGUGACAAAUGCCAAAGACACGCGCCCGUCCCGCAUAUGUCAUCCGAGACGUUGAACCCGAUAACAAGCCCUUGACCAUUCGCGCAAUGGGGGAUGGACAUAGUGGGACCUUUGCCCGUUGUAGCUGCCCAGAAGAAAUUCCUACUCUUUGCCACAGAUUAUUUUAGUAAAUGGGUCGAAGCGAAAGUGUAUGCUAGCAUCAAAGACAAAGACGUCAUGAAAUUCGUUUGGAAGAACAACAUUUUCCGGUUUGGAAUCCCUCAAGUAAUCGUAGCCGACAACGGCCCACAGUUUGACAGCAUUGCCUUUCGAAAUUUUUGUUCAGAACUCAAAAUCCAAAAUUUAUACUCUACACCAUGGUACCCCCAAAGUAAUGGGCAGGCGGAGGCAAACGAACAAGACCUAACUGUCAACAUUAAAGAAAAGACUAGAGCGAGCCAAAGGAAAGUGGGUGGAGGAGCUGUCCGGCGUCUUGUGGGCCUACCAAACGACGCCCGGAUGACCAACAGAAACACUCAUUUUGCUCUCGCAUACAGAAUAGACGCAAUCAUCCCCACGGAAAUAGGUUUGCCCACGACCUGGACUGCAGUACAAGGUCAGAGGGAUGAAGACCAAGAACUCGGAAGGAACCUAGAUUGGGCGGAUGAAGUGAGGGAAAGUGCAUCCAUCUGGAUGGCCGCCUACCAGCAAAGGGCGACUGCUCAUUACAACCGCAAGGCACAACCUCUUGUCUUCAAGGUUGGAACACUCGUCCUCAGAAGAGUCUUUAAAAACACAACUAAAAAGAGGGCCGGGAAGUUCCAAGCGAAUUGAGAAGGCCCCUACAUUGUCUCCAAAAUAGGUGAAAAUGGGGCUUAUCAUUUACAGAAGUUAGACGGAACCCCUUUACUUCGUCCAUGGAAUAUAUCUAACCUUAUGCAGUAUUAUUAGUAAAAAGAAACAAUGGGCGAGAAAAGAGUAAAGGAACAUUACAUUCAUAAAUAAGUGUGAGAAUUGUUUUUACAAAUCAAUCGGACCAUUCACGACAAAGAAAAAGUUAUAUAGAGGAGCUACACAAAAGUUGAGCCGUCUCAUUGCGGAAAACCUCCGAGUAUCUCAUCCUCGUCAUCAGAAGGGAGGGAAGGAAUGUCGUGCAUGAUGCUAUUUUUCUUCAUACAACAGCGGUAGUCGAUAAAGUACAUUUCAUCCACUUGCUUCUAGUACUCCGUUUCCAACUCCUUCUGAGCGGCAAAUCCAACCUCCAAUUAUUUCUUCUAGGCCAUCAAACCCGCUUGUAACUCCUUCACCUCUUUUUUCUAGGCCGCGAAAUUGGCCCGGAGUUCAUCCACCUUUCUCUUUAAUUGGGAGUUCUCUUGCUCCGUCCCUUUGUACUUGACCUCCAUAGCCUCUCCUUUCUCUUUUAGCCGGUCCACCUUAGCCCAGAUCGUCCCCUUCUCCCCUUCAACCAGCUUCAGCGUCUCGGCUCCGUUCGCAACGGCUUUCUGGGCAACAGCUAAGUCAGUCUCCACUCGCUCCAGCUUCCCGUGCAACUCUUCAAUGUCGCCCGGGUGGUGGGAGAUAAAGCCCACAUAGCCUUUGCCAUCUCCAGUCGCUUGAAAAGCUACGCGCAUUGUUGCAUCAUGUUGCAGAUGUCGGUUACCAACUAGAAGAGAUAGUAAAAUCCAAGUUAGUACCAAGCGGUGGAGUAUGCAUUACUUGAAAAAUGGGCUAAAUAAAAUGGAUUACCACUUCUAUAGUCUCCGACACCGUUCAUUCCUGCAACUGUUGAAUGGGGAACACAACAGACUUAGGAGUUCCAAAGGGGAGCGGGGCUGGGACGAAGGAGGGGGGGUCGUCGCCCAUAUUCACAGAUAUCCGCUUGGUAAGGGGAAAGAAGUCUGACAUUUUUGUAUAUGGAGCUUCAGAGUCCGUAAAGCACGGCACGUGCUUCAGCAUCUCCAUCAUUUCGUCCCAACUUGGAGGAGUUGCAGGAACAGGAACAGGACUGUCCUUCUCAUCUGAGACCCUCUCGACGGGAGCAGCAUCACCAGGGGCCUCCCCUGUAGUCAGACCUGCCUCUUUUUCCGUAGUCGGAGCGCUGCUAGGUCCCGCUACAUUCGAUUGGGGCACAACCAUUGGAGGAGCCCCCCUUGUCGGCUUUUCUUGAGCCAUCUCUAGGCAAGCCUUUUUGGCUGGGGGAGGGACCAUGUCAAUCGCUUCAUACAAGCAUUUGUGGUGCCUUUCCUUAAAUUCGGCUAUUAAGUCAUUCAUAUCCUCCUCCUCCGGCUCGUUUACAACUCCCAGAGCAAUAGACUUGACCCAGGCUAAGAAGGGUCAGUCCCCGUAUCGAUGGUAUCAAGCCUCGGCAAGCUAGAAUCGCCCUCGGACGCCUAGGCGGAACUGAUAGAUCAGUUGGACAUUGAAGCAGUAGAAGUAGACGAAGGUUUAGGAGUCGAGGACACAACCUUGAUCACUUUUGCAAUGGUCUUUUUUUUUUUUCUCAACAGGAGGACGGGCCGUAGACAUGAGCCACGACCUUUCUUAUCGAGGGCCUUCCUCAAUUUCCUUUCUUGCAUUUUUUCCUCCCACUACUUGAGGCGUUCCUGGCGAGCCUUCGCGUCUGCCUCACGAGCCUCUUCGUAGAAGGGAAGAUCCUUCAGAACGAAGUGCUCCCCAAAUACCACGACUUUCGGUAGCCGCUAGGGAGGAUGUUGAGGACCUACGACUAAGGUUCCUGGACAACCGCAAGCAGAUUACGGGCGGAAAUGAGCGUGUGAUGGUUUCUCUCAAUGGUAGUGAUUUCGAAUAGCCUGUUCAGACGGACAAACGAAGCCUUCUCCACCCACUCAACCAAACAACCCCUCUUGCCUGAGCCUUCGUCAGCCAAAACAAAGAAGGUUAACAAUCUAAUGGAAUUAAGCCAAGCAUCAAAUAUCAACAAGGAACAGAUGCUCAAAGCUACCCCUACCCCAAAUCUUCAACAAAAAGUUGGGGCGGAAAUCCCUUUCCGGAUGUUCCAUCAAGGCAGCCCAUGGGCCCCUGACUAGUACAUGUCCCUUGGCUCCCCAUCUUCAAAGCUACGGGGCUCCAGACAUUAUACAAGGCCCCCGACGACCCAAUCAAAAGGAGAGGUAAGCAUUCCUUAGAAAUGCCCAAGAAUACCAAUAUACUUAACCACCAAAUUGACAAAAGCUUCGGAGGGUGUGUCUGGACCACCUGUCCAGACAUCUUCUGCUGGGAAAUGGAAGGAAGCAUCGUUCUCAAUUGAGGGGGCGAGUACUUCAGGGAGCUACAACGACUUUAGUGUUCCCCACAUCAACAAUACCCAUGCUCGGCUAGAAAUUCACAAACUUUUUCUUCUAUACUAAAAACCCUUAUCCCUUUGAAGUUUUUAACAUCAAAUAUUUCUUGAUAUCUUUUUUCCAUAAAAAAAAGACAAAAUAAAUGUUGAUGGAUUGUUACAACACUAAAAGAUGUCUUCCACGUUGAAGGAAAAUAAUAUCUCUAUGGGAUUUAAUUUUUAAAUUAAUUAAAUGGCCACAAAACUUAAAACAUUUAUUUUAUUUUAAAAGGUUCCGAACACCUAAUGGAGGCCACGCGAGAAUAAAUACUAAGUAGUUAAGUGAUAUUUUCAAAUUUAAUGUAUAUCGAGGAGUCUAAGGUCAAUCAUAAAUGAAAAAAGAAAAAAGAAAAAAGAGAACUUCAUGCCAUGAGGCCACGAGAGAAUAAAUAUUGAGUAGGUAAGUGAUAUUUUCAAAUUUAAUGUAUAUCGAGGAGUCUAAGGUUAAUCAUGAAAAGAAAAAAGAAAACUUCAUGGCAUGAAACCUAGGUACCAGGUUUUCGUUGUUGAGAAAUGAUUCAUGAUGAUUCACGGAUGGUUGAUAUGGAUAGGCAUCUUAGGAGGGAUUUGACCCUAAAUAUACUAAUUUUGAUAUCAGCCAAGAUGUAGGGUAGCCAAUGCUUUGACAAUUAAUUUACAAGGCCAUAAAGCAUAUGGCCCGUACAGACUAACGAUGGCAUGGAGGGGAAACUUCCUUUGCACGGAGAGUUUCUAGUGCAAUUAAUAUCCCAAAACCCCAUCAUUUCAGGGAUUUGUUAGUGAAAAAAUGGAUUAUUAUUCACUCAUUUGAAAAAGUAUCUUAAAUUUUAUAUGAUAAUUAUUUUCUAAAAUGACCAUUUUUACAACCCUUUUAGUUCUUUAAAGACCUGACUUAAGAUUCGUAACAAACGUCCUUAGGAAUAUUAAAUAAUAAUAAAAUAAAAAAUUUUAAAAAUUAAAAAUAUAAUUAACACUAAAAUACUUAAAAAUUAAAUAGAAUUAAAACAAAAAAACCUUAAAAUUACAAAAAUAAAAUAUCGACUUUCAUUGUAUUUCUAUUUCUUUCUUGAUAUCUAUAUUUUCAACUAGCAUACUUUACCGAGGAGUGAAAGCCAAUAUUUUGUUUUUAUAUUUUUUGUUUUUAAGUUUUUUUUUUUAGUUUUUAAGUUUUUUUUUUAGUUUUAACUUGAUUUAAAAUUUUUAAAAUUUCCUUUUUUUUUUUAUUGAUGUCAAUUAACAAAAUUUUUAUUCAUUUUUAUUAAGAAGAUGAGAGAAUUUAUAUAAUACAAAAUAUAAAAUCAUUAUUAAUUAGAAAAUUAGAAAUGAUUUUAUUUAUCAUAUAAGGAUUCGGAGAAUUUUUCCACAAGGAUUUGUACCUUAUAUUAUGAAAUAAAAUUUAUAAUAUAUUUAUUUAUAAGAUGCUUUUAUUAAUUAACUUAAAAUGAUAAAUUAAUAUUUUUAAUAAUUUUAUUUAAUAUUAUAUAGUAAAAGCAUCAUUUAAAUAAUAGUAAUAAUUUGAUAUAUGAAAAAAAGUACAUGUAUUUUAAAAAGUCGGUUUAUAAACUUUUGACCUUAUUUUUUUUUUCAUAUAUUUUCAAAUUAAUAAAUCAAAACCAGUAUAUAUAUAUAUAUAUAUAUAUAUAUAUAUUUUUUUUUUUUCCUUUGUGUUGAACAUCGAAUCAAAAUUUUAGACUUUGAGGCUUCAGUACACGAUCUUCGGUUGAGACAUUUUUACAAUUACAUCAACCCAAGCUACUUCCUUUCGAUCAGUCUAUUCCAAUGAUUUCUCUCACCAAACCGGCCCUUACAUUAGAUGAGAAUGACCCACAGGUAGGUUUAUACUUCAAUGAAACUGGGGGGCCUUUAAUGUAUCCAUCCAGCAUUUCAUUGAUUUUAGGAUGUCUUUGGUUGUUGCCAAGGAGGAAUACUGAAAGAAGAGAGCUCCCAAUAAUUAAUUAAGGACUCCAGUUGGACCGACAAAUGAAAGGCUGAGGAACAAAGUUUCAUUGGCUUCUUCUGCAGAAUUAUGCUUUCUUCAGCAAAAGCGCGACAUGGAAAUUAUAUGGCUCCAUCUGGGUGUUCAUUUAAUCAAAAAGAAAUUUUAUUUUCAAGUUUUUUCUUCUAUUUUUUCAAAGAAUUCAAAGAGGGAUAUGAUGAAAUAAGUCCAGCCGAAAUAAGUGGCCACGGGGGAUGUCAUAGGGCGGCAUGGCAGGGAGCCCACAAGCGACUAAUGAAUUGAAGCCACCUUUCAUCUGAGAUAUACAGUUUGAAACUAACCUUAGCUAUGGUGUUGACGAUAGGCAAAAGUUUGUGCCCCACCAACCAAGCCCUCAAUCACAAUUCAUAGGAAGAUGCCAUACUGCGUGGAAAAAGGGGAAAGUAAGAAAUGAAGAGAUGCUCUAAAUCAAUCAUAUAUGGUUAGCUGAUGAAUUUUGGAGAGGGACCAAAUAACAAAGGGCUGCAGAAAAUGGUGCCAAACUAUCCAUCAUUUGAAAACCAAUUUAUGAUAGGGCUAGAAUACAGCCAAAAGGCUAAGGGGCCCGUUUUGUCUCUUUGGGACCAUAGCUUUUAACGUUCACCUUUUUAGUUAUUGAUGAAAAGGAUGAUAAAGAGAGCACCUGCCCCUGUGUUAAGAUCUAAGAACCCUAACCCACUUCUAUCUCCCUAUGGAACAAGAAGAACCCAAUAUAGAGUUUGAGGAUCAAAAACCCUCCCUCUCCUCCCCCUCCUCCUCCUCCUCCUCUACCCUGAUAUCCACAAAGGUUCCCUUACCUGUCACGGUACAACAAGGAACUAGGGGAAACCAAGUUGUGAGAACUAGUAGUAAGAGUGGGAAGGAGGUCAAGGAUGGAACAAGAGUGAAUGAUGGGAAGGGCAGGGCGUAUCGGGGAGUACGAAUGCGGAAUUGGGGCAAAUGGGUGUCGGAGAUUCGUGAGCCCAAGAAGAAUUCAAAAAUAUGGCUGGGGACUUUUCCCAAUGCAGAAAUGGCGGCUCUGGCCCAUGAUGUAGCUUCGCUUAGUCUUAAAGGUCACACAGCUUAUCUCAAUUUCCCUGAGCUGGCUCAAGGGCUCCCCCGUCCGACCACCGCCUCACCAAAAGAUAUCAGAGCUGCAGCUGUCAAGGCGGCCACCUUACACUACCCAAGAAGCCAUGAACCUCAUCAAGCCGCGCUAAUGGGUCCAUACUCCUCAGGUCCUAGUGUGAGAUCUAAUAUCCUUCAAGAAUCAUCAACUUCACCAAUAACAGAAGAUGAUGACGCAUUUCUUGACCUUCCCGAUCUCUUCCCUGAACUACCCGAUCCCUUUCUCGAUGUCAGCCAUUUGGAGCUGGCUGGGACUGAGCCCAUCAUCACCAGGUUUGAUCACCAUCACUUUUAACUUCCAAAAGUAUGCCACAUUUGGUGAUCACAAAUGGUUUCUCUCUCCGAGUUCAUUAGCAUGCAAGUUCAGGUAUGAACCGAGGGGUUUCGCUUGGUUGGUUAAUGGCAUGGACAUUAGUAUUGCUAUCUAAAAUUCACUUUGUAUCAGGUUUUUCUUGCUUAAAAGUGUAGCUAGCUAAUAGAUCGCCAUUUCUGCUUGGUUUUACAUGGACAUACCUUCAUUGCUGCCCUUCAAGUUUUUCACAAGAGGUCCGAUCAACCUUCCCCUCCUCAUUUGUGAACGUAUAUGAAUAAGAAAUUAAACGAUCAGAAAACGUCCAUGUGCAUGAGUGAGGCUGCGGUAGAUUCUUCAAGGUUCAAUACAUUUGAGUCGUCUCAAGUAAGUUUGUUUUUUUAGUUUUUCCCAGAAAAUAAAUGUACCAUGUAGGAAUGAAAUAUAGUAUAUGAACCGCCUCUUUCAAAGCCAGUGGAAGAUCUUUUUGCCAAUUUUAUCACCCAGAAUAAUGAAUUGAGAGUAAAGAAACAUCAGUGAGAUUCAACAAAAGCUUGACAAGUGCAGUGUACUCCCCUCUGGCCACGUCAUAAACAGACAACAAUAAAGACAAGGCAUGGGGAGACAAUAAUCGUCGGUUUGAAUGCAGGACUUGUCCUAGUUAAUUCACUGAGGAACUACGUACAUUUGACCAUUAAUAAGAAAAUGAAAAUUCAAAGAGGUGGAACCCCUAGGCUAGUGGUUGCCAAUAAGAAGUUUUAAGCCGUACAGGAUCUUAUCAAUCACCAUACCAAUCACUUUCUCUACUGUCGGCUUCACUUACCUAUUCACAACUUUAUCAUUACCCUUGGCCCCCCCCAUACCUCAUCAAGACCUUCACACCCAAAGCAAUUAGUUAGGGUUUCAAGAGUUAGAGUUGUAAAAGUAUGGUUGUCAUAUUCGUUCCAUGGUUAUCACUUGAGUUCUGUUUUUGUCCGAGUCCAAGCAAUUAUAUAUUUCUAUUCACUACCCAGUGGUCACCAGCAGCAAAAAUUUGAAGAUGAAUGAGUAUUAUUUAUAGACUCGCGGAAUAAGUUUUCUUAAUACAUUUGGAACAAAUAUCCUCAUUUUACAAUAAUAUUUAUGAAGCAUGUGACUGAGUGUGAGUUUCUUUCGAGUACCAAAUAAUUUUCCGUCCAUGAUUCUGGCAAGGCAAGUGGUCUGUGCACUUGUUUAUAAGACAUGCCCAAGAUCUUUUGUUAUACUGUCAGAAAAUUUUUACAUGCAAUGUGUAGAUGAGAGGAAAUACCAGAUCUAGCCAAGUACUAAUUUAGAUGGAUAUUAUAUAACUAAUGUGGAUGAAUAAGGGUCCAAGGAGAAGUUGAUUUUAACGUAGCUACGGCAUGAUGGUCACCCAGGAUGAGUAUUUGCCCGGACAACAAUCCUAUUUGAAAAUUUUGGAUCUUCUAUUAUGAAACUACUUAGAUUAGGAUGUAUUCAGUUAAUAAAUCCCAAGCACAAUCAAUCUCACAGUGGAUAUGUGAUUUACAUAAAAGAAAAAAGAAACAAAGAAAAAAUGUAAAAAACUACGAGAUCAUGGAGACCAUCUUUUUAAAUUUCUUGUGUGUAUGUGCUGGCCGGAAAUUUUUGCAUGCAUGUUGUGAUAUUUUUUAUCGAAAUGAUUUAGGCAGUAUGCAUCUUUCAUAUAUAUAUAUAUAUAUAUAUAUAUAUAUAGAGAGAGAGAGAGAGAGAGAGAGAGAGAGAGAGAGAGAGAGAGAGAGAGAGAGAGACUUACCUUGAGAUCCUUUUCCAAAUUUUGCAUCCCAAUUUCUUGUGAAACGUCUAUCUUAAAAGGAAUAGGGCUAUUUUAUAUAUAGAAAGUAAUUCUUCAAAUCAUAAAAAUUGUCUACAGAUUUUUUUAUAUGAAAAUGAUAGAAAAAUAAUAUAAAAUAAUUUGUAAAAAAAAAAGUUCUCUUACACCUGAAUUUAUUUUAAUAGACAUAAGACAUCAACUAGUUGUGGAAAUAUGUUUUUUGGGUAUGAAACUACCUAGAAAGAAGUGGAGGAUAGAAUAUGGUCCGAAAAAUCCAGGGAUCAAUUAUGAUGCAAAAAUGAAUACAUCAUAUAUGAUCAAUGCACACACUAGUUAUGCAUGGAAACUCCUUAAACCAUCUUUUCUCCAAAAGUUAAACCACCCGAGGGACUAUUUGGCCAUAAGGAUAAUCUUAGCCAUAAGGGUAAUCUUAAAUCUUAAAAAGUAUGAAGUUUUAGCAAAUCCAAAUUGCACAGUACCAGUUCUACAUGUUUGUUUAUUUGUUUGUUUGUUUGUCCUUUUUUUUUGUUUUUUUUUUUUAAUGUGAAAGAUAUUAAGAGGAGUAAUUGCUGAAUUAUGAUCUUUUAAUUAAACACAUUGAAUGGGGUUUAUAUAUCAUAAACAUCCCAAAUGGUUACAAAAAAUAUCCCACAAAACGUGGUCAAGUCAGUUACAAUGAAAACAAACAUUUGAAUACAUCAGAAAUAAUAUGUUACAACAAAAAACUAACAGCUAAAGAAUAGCUCCUAUGAUUGGGCUUCAAUACGCCCCUACAAGAUGACAAUUCCAUCUAAAAUGCCAAUCUUGGAGCGAAGAAAAAGGAACCGACCUUUGGAGAGAGGUUUAGUAAGGACAUCAGCCAACUGGGAGUGAGUGUUAAUAUGAGAAACUUUAAGAGAACCAUUACCAUCAGCCAAAUGGUAAUCCAACGCGAUGUGCUUCAUUCGACUAUGGAAUAGCAGAUUUACACACAAAUAUGUGGCACUUAAAUUAUCACAAUAAAUAGUAGGAGAUUAUUGAAGAGUGAUACCAAGCUCAGAAAGAAGAUGAGAAACCCAAGUGACUUCAACAACGGUAGAAGCGACAGCUCGAUACUCGGCCUCUAUUGAAGAACGGGCUACCGUCUUCUAUUUCUUUGAACACCAAGAGAUUGGAUUGCCACCAAGAAAAAGAACAAAAGCAGUGGUAGACUUGUAAGAAUCUUGGUCGCCAGCCUAAUCGGCAUCGGAAUAAGCUCGAAGAUCAAGAGGUGGACUGACAUUUGAAUAAGCUUGAAGAUGGAGAGGUUGUGGUCGUUGGAAAGUGAGACCAAAAUGUAUUGUAUGUUUGUGGUAACGGAGCAACCUCUUAGUUGCAGUCCAAUGAGUUUGAGUGGGGGCAUGCAUGAAUUGGGCAAGUUUGUUGACAACAAAAGCAAUAUCAGGAUGAGUGAGCUGGAGAUAUUGAAGUCCACCAACCAAGCUCCGAAAUUGAGUAGCAUUAGUUGGAGGAGAACCAUCAUUCAGAGUUAGAUGGCCAGUUGAAGACAUUGGGGUGGAAGAAUUCUUUAUGCCUUCCAAAUGAAACUUUGCCAACUAGUCACAAACAUAUUUAUGUUGACAUAAAAACAUGCCAUCAGAAGUGGAAAUGGCCUCAACUCCCAAGAAGUAGCUCAAAGGACCAAGAUCCUUUAGUGAAAAAUGAUGAGCAAGAGCAUCAACGAACUUCUGAAUGGACUGAGAACAAUUUCCUGUUACAAGUAAAUCAUCCACAUAUACCAGAAAAUAAAUUGUGACUAACCGACAUUGAUAGAUGAAUAAUGAAGUAUCAGAUUUAGAAUUGAUAAACCCAAAGUUGAGGAGAAAUGUCUUUAACUCCGUGUACCAAGCUCGAGGGGCUUGUUUCAAACCAUAAAGAGCCUUUUGCAAGUGACAAACAUGAGUAGGAUUAUCCUGAUCAACAUACCCAGGUGGUUGAGCCAUGUAAACAUCCUUAGUUAAAUUUCCAUGAAGAAAAGCAUUAUUAACAUCAAGCUAUGAAAUAGGCCAACCGUUACUCAAGGCAAUGGAUAGAACAACUCUAAUGGUGGUUGACUUAACAACUGGGCUAAAAGUGUCAUGAUAAUCAACCCCAGGGCGUUGAUGGAAUCCUUUGGCAGCUAAACAGGCUUUGUAUCGAGAAAUAGAACCAUCUAGAUUUCGCUUGAUACGAAACACCCAUUUACACCCCACAAUGUUAUGGUUGGAAGGAGGAGGUACAAGAACCCAUGUACGGUUGCAAGCAAGAGCAGCAAGCUCAUCAUCCAUGGCAGCACACUAGUUGGGAUCUUGAAGAGCUUGAGAGGCAGUAGUAGGCUCAAGGGAUACAGGAAGUGGAUGUUUGGUGACAUGAAAAUUUGUCUUAAAGCCAGGAAACUAUUUGGGACAAUGGAUAUUAUUUUGAGAACGAGUUACAAUUCGAUGAGAUGGCUCGGGUGGAGGAUUGGACCCUUGGGUUUGGGUAGGUGGUGACAAGGACAAAGAUGGAGAGCAAGUAUUAGAGGAGUUAGAAGACAAAGGGAGAGAGGAAGAGGAGAGAUCAUACCUUGGAGUAGCAUCACACACCGAGAGAGGAGCUGAAGUCAUAAUAGAUGGACUGGAACUAGUAGGAGAACGUGAUGAGAGCAGCUCCUGAUUAGGCCGUGUGGUAGUGGAAGAAGAUCCUUGGUGCAGGAAAGAUUCGGAGGGAGUGGGAACCACAAAAAAAGAAGGUUGGAUAGCAGCAAGAGCUAGGGAACACGAAGACCAAGUCAAGACAAAUUGGUCAAGAUCUGUAGGCAAAGUAUUUGAGGUAAGAGGAAAUUGAUGUUUGAUGAAUUGGACAUGACGAGAGAUGUACACACGGUUGGAAGACAAGUCUAAACACUUAUAAGCAUUGUGGGUGUUGGAAUAUCCUAUAAAGACACAGGGCUUGGAGUGUUUUUCAAGUUUAUGAUCAGAAUAAGGACGCAACCAAUGAAAACAUAAGCACCCAAAAGCUUGUAACUUAUCAUAGUUUGGCAGUUGUUGAAAGAGAGACUCAAAAGGUAUUUGAUGUUUAAGAACUGGAGUGGGCAAACGAUUGAUUAAGUAUGCAGCAGUAAGGAAAGCAUGAGACCAAUAUUUUAAAGGUAGAGAAGCUUUGUGGAGCAUGGCCAAACCUGUUUCAACAACGUGACGAUGUUUCCUUUCAGUAGAGCCUACAUGUUCGGGUAUGUAAGGGGGAGACACUUGAUAUUGAAUACCUUGUGAUACAAAGUAGGAUUUAAGACUUUUAUAUUCGGUGCCACCAUUUGUGUAAAGAGUUACCAAUGAUGCUUUAAAGUAUUUUUUUUUACCAUAGACUUGAAUUUGGGAAAAACUGUGUAAACAUCAGACUUGUAAGCCAUAGGAAAUAACCAAACAUAUUUUGUAAGAUAAUCGAUGAAAAUAAGAUAGUACCGAAAGCCAUCAAUUGAUUCAAUUGGGGAAGGCCCCCAUACAUUCGAAUAAACUAAAUCAAGAGGACCAUGACUUUGAAGUGAAGAAACUCCAAAAGGCAACUUGUGGCUCUUAUUACAUAAACAUGACUCAAAAGAAAUUGUGGAAUGAGUCGGUGGGAUAAAUUGGAAGAUUAUGUUUGCGAAUUAAAAACUAAAAAAUACGAAAUGAUGGAUGUCCUAAACGAUGAUGCCAAUUGGAAAAUGAUGUCUUGACACUAACACAGGCUUGUUUAGGAGAGAUACCCACUGUGUUUCCCUUGUUAGGCCAAGGACACUCAUACACAUCAUCCUUGUUCCGCCCUUGAGUGAGACGCGCCCCCGUUUUGAGAUCCUUGACAACAAAAGAAGAAGGAAAAAACUCAAUAGAAGCAUUGUUGGCUUUACAAAACUUAGAGACAAAAAUUAAGUUUUGCUUUAUGGAGGGAACACAUAAUAUAUUAGACAGACAAAAAGACUUAGAAGGAGCAGGGAGUUUAGAAGAACUAGUGUGAGUAAUUUCGAGGCCUGAACCAUCACCCAAGAGAAUGUCAUCAAGACCUUCAUAAGGCUGGUGGUGGGAAAGAUUACUUAAAUCGCCAGUAACAUGAUGGGAGGCGCCAGAGUCCAUAAUCCAAUUUGAAGACGACGAGUUCCCAAAAGAGGUGUGAUGAACCUCUGGCUGUUGUUAUAGGAGCCUCUGGGCUAAAUUGCAUUGUCUAGUAGAUUUCAACAUGGUAUCAUAGCAAAAUUGAUCUUGUAAUGGGACCUUUUUAUCCAUAUUCGUUUGUUCAUGCAAUUCCUUUUUGUCGUGCUUGAUCAUGGGAUAUCGUAGUGAGUGAUUGCAUUGUUCUUUUCCUAUUUGGUUUCGUAUUUGUUUUCUUCACUUUGUUUUUGUUUUUGUUUUUUGAUUUGUUGGCUAUUUGUUAUUUAUUUAUCAUGGCUAGUGAAUGACAUGAUUCCCUUCAAUCUAUUAGUGUGAGAUUAAAUGGAAAAAAUUAUUCGUAUUGGAGUUAUGUGAUGAAACUUUUUCUAAGGAUAAGUGAGUUGUAUCUCUAAAUUUGGGCUAACUGAUUAAUUAUGGCCUUGUAUAGUUAAUUAAUCAAUUAGUAGCAUUUUUGGGUUAGAUUAAGUGACCUAAGUCCAUGGUGGGCUUAAGUCACUUAAGCUUAGUAAGAGGCUUAUAAAUACCCCUUUAGAGGUUAGGGUUUCCAUGUCUUCUCAUUUUCUCUCUAUGGUCCAAAGAUGGAACCCUAACCUCUAUCCUUGAGAUCUCCAUCAUCUCAGUGCCUAGACACAAGAAAGAGUCAAUGGGCAGAAGAUCAUAGUGUUUACAAGAUCUAUUACAACUUUGGAGUUAUUUACAUUGAUUGGAAUCGAUUUUUGAACAUCUGAAACAAAGGUGUGUGGUUUUUUUCUCUAGAUUUAUGAUUUUUGUGGUAUCAAUAUUUGUUUUUGAAUACCUAAUUUCCAUUGCAAUAGAUUUAAAAGGCUUAUGAUAUAUUUUUAUAUACCCUAUGAGAUCUAAGACAUGGGAACGAAGUAAUCUAGGGUUCCCAAUAACUAAUAUAUGAGAUUUAAAUGAAUAAUGAUAAAAUAUUACACAUUUUUUUAGUAUCAAGUAUAUAGUUGUAGAAGAUGAUGCUUAAUAAUAAUAAUAUCCCAAAAAUUUCACACACACCUUUUUUUUUUUUUAGUUUUAGUGUCAUGGUUUCAAAUGUUUGAAGAUGAUGUUUAUAAAAAGUGUCAAGAUUUUUUUCUAUUAGAUGUUGUUUUUGAAAAGUGUCAAGAUUUCUAUUGAUGGAAGAUGACAUAUCUUUUAAAUGUCAAUGUUGUUGGUGAUUAUUUAAUGAUGUUAUUUUAAUUUUUGGGCAAGCACCAAAGUUCAUAAAUGAUGAUGUUUUUUCUAAGUGUCAAGGUUUAUGUUAUGAGAAGAUGACUCUCACUAGAAGUGUCAAUGUAUCUACAACCAUAACAUGGUAGUCUAAAAAAUGAUGCUUUAAGUGUCAUCUUAUAUUUUUCUUAAUGCAUAAAAAGCGUUGUCUUUACCUUUUUCUUUAUAGUGAAAAUGCAUUAAAAGACAAUUUUGAGAGUUUUCAUGUCAGAAGUUAAGAGGAAAGACACUUUAAUAAAAUAACUUUUACUCCUCCAAACAAAUUUAGUGAAUUGGGGAAGGUUUUCGAUUGUUGAUAAUAGGUUGCAAUGGAUGAAAAAAAAAACUCCAUAUAUAUAAAACUAAAACAUGCUACAGAGCAUUGUGGAAUUUUGAGAGCAUUAUUAUAGGAAGAGAAGUUUGUGUGCAUUUGCUUAAAAGCACACCCAUAUGUAGUAAACCAUUCUAGAAUAGAAAAGUUAUCUUAGGAAAGAGGUGUCAAGGCUAUUGUGCAUAGUUUAGGCCAUCGUGGAGUAAUUUCACUCCCUAAUCUAGUGAAAAUGCUCCUAAAAGUAAUUGUGUAGACUUAAAGCUUCAUUGUGCUAAUUCAUUUCAUAAUAGAUUGUUCUUGGAUUAUUCUAGAAAAUUCCAUGUUGAUGUAGCAUGUUAAGACUCUUAAGGCACUGCCACAUGUGCCACUCCACCUUUAUGAAUAAUAGGUAAAUUGGUAGUUAGGUAGUUUUAAGGUCUUUUGGAUAAUUUUUAGACUUCACUUUUGAAUUUUGAUCUCUAGUUUUUCACUACAUUUUCCUUUAUUUUCUCAUACACCAAACACAUGUUGUAUGCCAUGAUUAAUGGUUGAUUGACUCUUAAUCUAAAAGAGGAUCAAGGGGGACUAAGGAUCUAUUGGGUGGAAGAGUUCUCUCUAGUACAAAAUCUCUAUCUUAGUAGGUGUUCGAUAAAAAUUAAUACUUAUUACUUAAUGACUUUAGUUGACUUUAAGUUAAAUUGUUCUUAAGUUGUUAACUUAAAAUUUAUUACUUAUUUUUUUUACUUUAGGUAAAGGUUGUUUGGUAAAGUUAAAUUUUAUUUUAAAUCAUCAACCUGACAUAUUUAUCAUUAUUAAUUCUAACUAAUAUUUAUAUUUUCACUAAUCUUAAAUAGUAAAUUUAUUUUUUAAACAUUCAUAUUUAAAGUAUCGUAGAUACAUGAGAUAACUACAAUGAUAUUUACUAUAAAUGAUGAGUUGUGAAUGUAGAGUCAUAAUUGUAAAAUAGAUUUUAACUAAACAUAGAUAAAUAAAGUAAAAAAGAUUUGAGAUUAAGAAUAACUUAACUAUUUUAACUUAAUACUUAAAACUAUUUUUUACAUUAAAUUGUAAUAUUAAGUUAUUUUAUUAAACAUAUUUGGUGUACUUGAUUAUUUAAUUUAAUUAAAUUAUUAAGUCAUAUUAAAUCGUGAAGUUGAUUUACCAAAUACCCACUUAAUUUAUUUUCAUUCAUAUCUAUUGUCAAUUGAUUUCUCCAUUAGAUCUUCUUUAACUAGGUACGUCUGAUGCUAAAUUUGAUUGAUUAGAUACCUACCUUUGCAUUUGAUCCAUUGAGAUCAAAUUUCAAUCACUUGUAUGCAAAAUUGAAGUUAGACAUUGAGAUUAGAAAAAAAUUAAGCAAUAAGUUUUAAGUUAACAAUUUAAACAUAAUUUAAUUUAAAGUCAACUUAAGUCAUUAAGUAAUAAGUAUUAAGUUUUAUCAAACACCCCCUAAAUCUAAAAACAAUAUAUAGUUGUUAAUGACAUCAUAAUUAUUUUACUCAAAUUCAUGUACUUGAGUUGGAUCAUUGGAUACAAUUCAAUCAUCUUAUUUGAAUCUUUCUUCAUGAGGCCAAGGGUUACAAUUUAUAGACUCCAUUUAAAAGGAUCUCUAAAUACAUUUUAAGAAUUUGCUCAAUAAGAUUCAUCACUAAAUCAUUCAAAUCAUUAAAUUCUUUUUUAUUCGUAACAAUCUUUAGUGCAUUAAUCUCAAUUCAUCAUCUCACUAAUACAAAUGAAUCAAUUCUUAAAAAAAAGCCCUAGUAGAAANNNNNNNNNNNNNNNNNNNNNNNNNNNNNNNNNNNNNNNNNNNNNNNNNNNNNNNNNNNNNNNNNNNNNNNNNNNNNNNNNNNNNNNNNNNNNNNNNNNNAAUUUCCGUAGUGGAAAAAAUAAUUUCAAAUCUACAGCAUUUUUUGUCGGGUAGGAGGGAAUGAUAUAUUUUUUUUACUCUGUCUCUUCAAAAGACAAUUUAUGACACUUAAAAAAAAAAAAAAAAAUCAUCUUUCCAAUUUACUAAAAAUGAUAAAUUGUGUCUAAAAGAGACGAUUUCCACUAAUAAAAUAAGAAGUUGGAAAUCGUCUCUUGAAAAGGCGAUUUCCACCAAAAAUUAAAAAUAGAAUAAAAUUUAAUAUAUAUUAUAAUACAAUUAAUUAUCGAUAUAUUAUAAAAAAAAUAAUACAAUUUAAUAUAAAAAUAUAUCAUAAAUCCAAUUUGGAAUUAAAAAAUUAAUUAUACUCAUACAAUUAUUAUAUAUAUAUAUAUAUAUAUAUAUUAUAAAUUAAUUUUAUUUGCUAAAUUUAAUAUAAGAUAAAUAAUAUUUAUCUAUUAUUUUUUUCUUUCACUUUGUAAUUAAAAAAAAAAAUACUAUCAAUUUAUGUGAAAAAAUGAGUUUAAAAAAACAAAUUUGUUGUUAAUUUAUUAAAUAAUUAUUUACAAACUAAAUAAUUUUGUUUUGUUUUUAAUUUUAAAUUAAUUUUAGUAUAUAAAUUUUAAGAUUAAAAAUAUUAAUCUUUAAGUUAAAAUUUCACUAUAGUAGAACUUAACUUUUUUAUGGCCUCCGCUACACGCUUCAUAUCCCCAAUUCUAAUGCAUUAGACUCAUAGUCCAUAGGAGAAUCUUACCUAUUACACUUCAUCACUUUACACACUAUUACACUACAAUUGCACUCAAUCAAUUUGAAGAUCGUUUCCUACACUCAUAGCCCAUAGGAGAAUCUUACCUAUUGCAUUCAACCAAUUUGAAGAUGUGUUGUCAUUUUUUCUGAAAUACUUAAAUAUUCCACCAAUUUAAUACUCCACCAAUUUGACCGUUUGAUGUCAUUUCUUCUUACACAUUCAAAUGUUCACCCUCUAUCCUACACACUACACUCAUCCUACAAUAUAAAUUAGCUUCAAAUUUCUUCAUUCUCAUUUUCCCCAUCUUCCCCACUUGAAACUCAGUUUUUCACUUAUCAGUUUUUCACAUUCCAUCACUUCUAUAUAUUUCUCUUAUUCUCUUUGAGAGAUUUCUUAGCAUAUCUCCUCUCUUUCUUUCGACGCUCACGCUUCUUAUAAGGUAAUAUUUUUACUUUAUUUUUAUUUCAAAUUAUUUUGUAAUGUAUAGUUUUUAAAUUUAUUUGGAUUAUGUAAUAUUUGUUUGAAUAAUAUUUAUUGGAAAUUAUUAUUUUAAAUAGAUUAAAUCAUUCAAAAAAUAAAAGAUAUAUUGUUUUAUUCCUAGGUAAUAUUUUUGUCUUUGUUUCAUAUUUAUUGUGUAACGCAUGAUAGAUAUUUGUUGUUCUAUGUAUUUUUUUAAUUUAUUGGAUUUAUGGUAAUUUUGUUAGAAGAUUAUUUUUUAUAAAUUAUCAUUAUAUAAAGAUAAAUAAAUUAAAUCUUUCAACAAAUAAAAAUGAUAUUAGUUUAUUUAAUUAAUAUGAAAUAAUAUUAUUAUUGCUUAUGUUUAUCAAUCAAAUAAUACGUUUUAUAAAAUAUUAAAAUUAAAUAUUAAAAAUAAAAUAAAUAUUAGUAAAAUGAGAAUUAAUAAAAAUGAUAAUAGAAUAAUUAUGUAUCUAUAUAUUUUGCAUAAUAUAUGAUUUAAAAAAUAUUAAAAUCUAAAAAAUAGAAAUACAACAUUAUUUGAAAUUAUGAAUUUAUCCUAUAUAUAUAUAUUUUUAAAUUAAUAUUAGUUUUAAAUCAUUGAAAAAAUUGUUGUAAAACAAUGAGAUGUAAAAAUAAAAAUAUAAAUAAAAGUAGAAAUAAAACUAAAAUGUUAUUUGAUUUAUUUAAAUGGAUAUUUAAAUGUAUAAUAUAUAUAUAAAAGUAAUUGUGUAUAGUAUAAAAUAGUAACCGUGAGUAUUAAAUGUAUAUAAUAUAUAUUUAAAUAUUAAAUAUAUAUAAUAUGUAAAUUUACAUUUGAAAUGUUAUAUUAUAUACAUUUAAAUAUGCAUUUUAAAAAAGAAAAGAAAUAUAUAGUUGUAAAAUGUUAGAAUAUACAAUAAAAAAAAUGAAUUUAGUAAUGGUUGUUAGUAUUAAAUUAUUUGUUUGCAUAUAAUAUUAUUUAAAAAUAUUAAAAUAUAAGAAAUAUAAAUAGAACAUUAACCGAAAUUAUGAAUUUAUCUUAUAUAUUUUAAAAAAAUUAAUAUUAGUCUUCAAUUGUUGAAAAAAUUCUUGUAAGAUAUUGAGAGUUAAAAAUAAAAAUAUAAAUAAAAGUAGAAAUAAAACUAAAAUGUUAUUUGAUUUAUUUAAAUGGAUAUUUUAAUGUAUAUAAUAUAUAUAUAUAUAUAUAUAUAUAUAAAAGUAAUUGUGUAUAAUAUAAAAUAGUAACCGUGAGUAUUAAAGGUAUAUAAUAUAUAUUUAAACAUUAAAUGUAUAUAAUAUAUAUAUAUAUUUAAAUAUUCAAUGUAUAUAAUAUGUAAAUUUACAUUUAAAAUGUUAUAUUAUAUACAUUUAAAUAUCCAUUUUAAAAAAGAAAAGAAAAAUAUAGUUUUAAAAUGUUAGAAUAUAUAAUAAAAUAAAAUAAAUAAAUUUAGUAAUGGUUGUUAGUAUUGAAUUAUUUUUUUGCAUAUAAUGUUAUUUAAAAAAUCUUAAAAUAUAAGAAAUAUAAAUAGAACAUUAUCCAAAAUUAUGAAUUUAUCUUAUAUAAUAUGUAAAUUUACAUUUAAAAUGUUAUAUUAUAUGCAUUUAAAUAUCCAUUUUAAAAAGAAAAUAAAGAUAUAGUAAUGAACAAUGCACCAUAAUAUUAGUAAAAUAGAUUUGCAAAAUACAUAUUGUAUAUCAAUUAUUAUCAUAAAGUUUAUUGAUGAUGAUAUUCCUUUGUUGAUUUUUUGAAUAGGUUUGAUAAUGGAUGGUUACACCAUAGUGUUACGAUAUACUAGUGGUGAAAUUAUUGAUUGUGAAUUUGGGGUAUAUUAUAAUCGUCCUCCUGAAAAAGGUAUUUCAAUAAAUAGUAUGAUAACAUUUGAUGAGUUAGAAACAAAAUUGUGUCAUACUCUGAAUAUUAAUCGUACUUACACUAAGUUAAAUAUGGUGUUUUGAUAUCCAGUUCCCUUUCCAAAUGGAAGGAGUACUGUUAAUUAUGUCCCUUUGCCUAUUCAAGAAUAUGGUGAUGUGAGCAUAAUGUUUACUAUUGUCGCACAAUCUCCUCCUCCAAAUACUAUUGAAAUGUAUUGUCAAACUUCUUCAAUUGAUUAUCACCCCAUGCCAAGUAGCUUUACUACACCAAUGCAUAUUGAAAGUCUAGGUCCAAGUCAACAAAUGGUAGAAGAGAACACAUCUUCCCCUAUGUAUAUGCAAAGUUAUGAUAAUGACAUAGAACCUAUAAUUAGGGUAGAUUUGGCGGGAGUUACUGAUUCAAUUGUAAUGACAGUUGAAAAUUAUGUUGAUAUUUUACUUGAAAAUGAUGAUGGCAAUGUGGAGUUAUUUGAUGAAGAUAAUGUAAUAAGGAUAUUAUGGACAUGGAGGAUAAUGAAAAUACAGAAAAUGAUGCAUCAUUGCUAGGUGGUGGUGAACAUGAUGUCCCUUCCCCAAUAUUUAGAGAAUUGAAUUGGGAUGUAAUUAACCCCAUGGCUGAUAAGGAUUUAAUAGCAUGCACUAGCUUAUGGAAUGAAUAAGAUGAAUUGUUUAAGAGUUUGCGGUUUGAGAGUAAGGUGGACUUACAAUCUGUUGUUAAACGUUAUUCCAUGUGUAGGAAUUAACAUUUGAUUAUUAUUGAAUAUGAGCUAAAUAUGUGGCCUGUAAAGUGCAAAAAAUGGUCUGAGGGUUGUAAUUGGAGGCUUCGUGCAUGUCGUCGUAAAUCUCAUGGUUUGUUUGAGAUAACAAAGUACAUAGGUCCUCACACUUGUAUUUACCAUAAACUAUCAUAAGAUCACUCACAAUUAGACUCCACAUUCAUUGCACGAGAAGUUCAAAAUGUAGUCCAAAGUGAUCACACAAUUUCAAUUGCUGAAUUACAUCAAAUAGUGAAAGAUAAAUUUGGUUAUAAUGUUCAUUACAAGAGGAUUUGGGAAACAAAGAAGAAAACAAUCAUAAGGAUAUUUGGUGAUUGGAAUGAAUCUUACCAAGCUUUACCUAGGUAGAUGAAUAUUGUUAAACUUACUAAUUGAUUACUACUCAAAAAGUGCUUUUUGAUAGCCUAUAAUUAAUCCAUUUAAACACUUUUGAGUAGUAGUUUAGGCCUUUUAACUCAAUUGGCAUGUUAAGGAUCCUUUAAAGCAAUUUUGAUCACUUUGUGUAAGUUUUGGUGUUUUUGUUAGUAUUUUGAUCACCAAAGCAAGUCAAGACUGAGGAGAGCUAUGAGGAAUCUUGGGCAAAGCUUAGAAGUCAUUUGCCAAGAGUGAAUCCGGAUUGCAAGGAGAAAAAAGCAAAGAGAAUCUGCCAUAAAGCAUAUUCUUGAUGACAGUCGUAGCAGCCACUUUUGGAGCACUUUCUGAAGUCCAAAUGAUGCAUGUUAUAUACCAUUCCAAAGCUCAGGAAGUCAAAAAUCCAAUGCUUCAAACGGUGUGCAAUUCGAAGUUGAAACGAAGAAGUUGCAGCCAUUACAAGCCAAUCACUCCGAGCUGAAGGAAGCAUUUUGCAAAGUGCUGCGGAAUCACCCUUUUGUUGCGAAGUGAUUUCGCAGCAUUUUUGUACAGUAAGGUGUUUCUCCUUCUGACGAUGCACGAACCAUGCCGCAAGAAGGGAGCUGGGAACCUCAAGGUGGAAGCCAACUUCGCAGCCCUGUGAAGAUAGCUUGGUGUUGCGAAAUAAUUUCGCAACCCUCUUAGGUGUCUGCGAAAUCUCGCAGACACCAUUUUUCUCCUGCGAAAUGGUUCCUGAAGCCUCCCGAAGUUUGCUACCGACAUUGGGAAAUAUUUUCCAUUAGAUUUUUGUUGUCUAAAUCCCAAAAUACUCCUUGUAAACCACCAAUUACAUACUUCCUUAGUUUUUAAGUUAGUAAAAAGAUUAAAUAUCUAUGUAAUAAUUAGUUUUAUAUUAUGUUGAUAUAUAUACCUCUCGGGAGCCUGUUCUCGAAGAGGAGUUCCUUCUGUAAACAUUUGGGUAAGCAAGUAAAGUCUAUUUUCUUUCUACUGCCUUACCUUCUCACUUUGUAUUUUCAUUUUAUUUCUAAGUUAUGAAUUCUCUGAGGAGUUUUCCCCAGAUAAUGAGUAACUAAACCUCUAAUUCCUUGGAGCUAAGGUUGCCGAGGAAGGUUCCAAGUGCAAGAAUGCAAAGCUUUGUGGUUUUAGCUAGUAAUGAAGAGGAAGUGAAAUCCUUUAGUGAUUUCAAUGUUUUUAGUUAACUUAAAACACCUUGGAGUCACCUGGGCCAACACUUGGUAAGGCAAGUGAUUUCCAACCAUGGAAAUGCACUAGUUUACCCCUUGCGAGCCUCUGGUAGGUGACUUCAGGGUAGGAUUUUCUAGAAUAGCCAACACUUGAUAAGCUUUUGGACUCCUAGGAGACAUCCAUUAGUUAUCUCUUGCGAGCUUUUGACUUGUAAUCCAAGGUUAAAGAUCACCUUGAAUGGUUAAGACUUAGUGAGAGGCUUAAACCAUUGCAAGUUGCAUCAGUGAGAGAAUUAAAGUGAAAUCUAAUUGAAGGAGUCUCUGUACAUCACCGGUUAGAGAAUUGACUAUAUGUUGAAUCUCUAAUGCGAGGAAAUGAACCAUUUGACCAGAGCUGUGUCUUUUGCAUGAGGAACCACCCCAGUGAACCUAAAUCUCCGAGGAAUGUUUUCUUCCUAAAUUAUUCCAAACUUCUGUUAUGUUAGUUAGUUUAAGUCUAAACUUUUACCAAUCAAAGUUUGUGUUUUACUUCUUAAUCUAAUCUUGAAAUGAAACAAGACCAAUUCACUUGGAAUUGGUAUCAUUGAAUGCUUGUUAAUCAUUCCCAGUGAACGACCCUAGAGCCAUUAUACUAUAGUAGCUUUUUCUUUGCUACCCUAGUGUAUGGUGUUAUAGGUAAUAAAUUUUGUUGAUCACUCCCUCAAUCAAGGAGCACCAGCUGGACACAAAUCAGCUGAGACACCAAUUGGACAUGAAUCACUAAUCCUAGGACUAAGGUUGUUUGGAAGACAUCAGUACUAGCAGGUUGCAAUGGAAAUAUAUGUUUUAUGCGUGUGUUCUAGGCUUUUGGGGCAUGUGUUGAAGGAUUUAAGCAUUGUAGACCAGUAAUACAAAUAGUUGACACUUUUUUACAUGGAAAAUACAUAGGGAAACUUUUGAUUGCAACAUCAAUCAAUGCUAAUGGUCAUAUCUUCCCUCUUGCAUUUGCAAUAGUUGAAGAUGAAUCAUCAGAUAGUUGGUCUUGGUUUCUUUAUACAUUAAGGAAUCAAGUCACACAAAAAGAAGACAUAUGUCUCAUUUUUUAUUGUCAUGUAGGAAUAUAAGCCCCCAUUAGGGAUCCUAGUGUUGGAUGGAACCCGCCUUAUGCACACCAUCAAUAUUGUCUUAGGCAUAUGUGGCAAGCAAUUUUAAUGAUAAUUAUAGAAAUAAGAUGUUAAAAUACUUAGUGUAUAGAGCUGGGUCUCAACAUCAACCAUGAAAGUAUGAGUCAUGUAUGACUGAGUUAAAAUGAUUAGAUGAGAAAUGCUUAGAAUGGUUUAACAGGUUGGACACGAAGAAAUGGACUUUGACACAUGAUGGAUGACAUCAGUAUGGGUGGAUGACUACAAAUAUUGUUGAAUGCAUAAAUAGAGUGCUUAAAUAGGCUAAAAUGUUGCCUAUCACUACUCUUGUUCGAUUAACUUUCUAUCGUUGUAUUUCACAUUUUGAGACUCAUCGAACAGAGAUACAAACUCGAAUUGUAAAUGGAGAUUUGUAUACUUCCUAUGCCACUAACAAAAUAACAAAAUAACAAAAUAUGAAUCAAGGGCUAGUAGACACACUAUUAAUAUCUUUCAUCGUUCAAAUGAGAUAUUUGAAGUGACAAUUGCUCCCCAUGGGUUUCAUAUGGAUAAAGGAAACAAUAUACAAAUUGUGAAGUUGAAAGAAAGAACAUGUACUUGUAAUAAAUGGCAAUCAUUUAUUAUCCCAUGUUCACAUGUGCUAGCUGUAUGUGCACGUGUAAGGAUUGAUAGUUGGCAAUUUGUUGACAAACAUUAUAGGAUGGAUGUAUAUGGUUGUUGCUAUACACCACAAUUCAAUCCAAUUCCACAUCACGCCUAUUGGCCAGAACCUAAUUUUCCAAUUGUUCAUCCUAAUCCAACUCUAGUACGUGAUAAAGGAAGACCAAGAUCUUCAAGGAUUAGGAAUGAAAUGGAUUGGAGAGAACCAAGUGUCAAAGUCCGAUGUGGGCUUUGUAAACAAGAGGGUCACAAUCAUCGAAAAUGUCCUAACAGAGGGGAGUCUUCUAAUACAACCACUCAAUGAUAUUGUGAGUUCAAGUUGAAAAUUUUCUUAUUUAAAUGAAAGUUUUUUUUAAGAUUAAAGAUGAACAUUGACUUAUUUCCAUAUAAUGUCAUUGGAAUGUCUUGUAAUAAACUAAUGAAAUUAUUUAAAUGAUAUAGGGAAUACAUUCUUAAAGAUCUUGGACCUGUAGAUCGUUCUGUUCUGUAUAAUCAAGAAGACACUGAUCUUCUCUUAUAUGAUAAGGAAAUGAUCCUGGUGAGCUCCAUUGUCGACGUCGUGAAGCCAGUUUUUAUCGUAAUAGUGUUUUAGAUGCACACAUCAUUCCAUAGUUGCAACAAUCUGGAUUCUAUGGUGUUGCUUGAUUAUGUUUCAUUUCAUUUGAUUGGCACCUUAUUACAAUAUUUAUAGAGAGAUGGCAUCCUUACCCACACUUUCCAUGUACCUCAGGGAGAGUGUACCAUCACACUUCAGGAUGUUAGCAUUAUUUUAGGCUUACUGAUUGACGGUGCUGCAGUUAACGGUAGCACAUGCUUGGCUUGGAGAGAGGUGUGGUGCCUGAAGAUAGAGGUAUUCUGGACAAAGACUUCGUUUGUCUUAGUUGACAGAGCAUUUUCCUUCAUUGACACCUAAUGCUGAUGUGGAGUCUAUGCUAUGCUAUGCUAGGGCAUUCAUCUUACAGUUGAUUGGAGGUUUUCUUUUUGUGAAUAAAUCGAACAAUAGGGUACAUUUAGUGUUUUUACCACUACUUGAGGAUUUUGGAGUUACUGGUACUUAUAGUUGGGGUAGUGCUUGCCUAGCUUAGCUAUAUCGAGAGAUAUGUCAAGCAUCUUGUAUUGAUGCACAUGAUGUAUCGGGUCCUCUCAUUUUGUUACAAUUAUGGAUAUGUGAUAGAUUUUCCUUUAUAACACCUAUGUGCUUACAUUCAACCCUACAUGAUGAAGUACUGCCACAACCACCUUUAGGCAUGCGGCAUGUAUUCAACCUUAGUUUUAACAUAUAUAAACACAUAUAUACAUAAAUAAACAAGUAUAUAAACUUUUAAUAUAUAUUCUUUCUGUACUUGGAGAGAUGAGUUUUGUACUACUUCGACGCCUAUGCAUGUGUUACCCCAGUAUAGGUAUCUACUUGAUUGACUUAUGCCAGAGCAGGUGAGAAAUUCAUUAUUUUGAAUAAUUUUUUUAAACAUUUUGUAAUCAAAAUAUUAUUAAAUAAUGUGAGUCAUAUUUCAAAUUUAAUUGCAAAUUAUAUGGAAGCCAUAUACUGAUGAUGUACUCCCAAAUUAUUGUACUAUUGCCUCGGACUUGUGGUUGACUAUUUCACCGCUUAUCUGUUUCCACAUAGUGGAAUGGCAUAGAUCUGAUCAUGUUUUGAGGCAGUUUAGGCUACUACAACAUAUUCUUGAGCAGUGCGAUAUGGAAUUAGGAUUACAUAAAUAUGAUUUGAGGGGUCGACAUGAUUUGGAUUGGAUGAGUACUCAUCACCACUAUAUUCAAAAGUAGGAGGCUAGGUAAAAUCAUCUUGCUAGAACUGAGGCAACAUCUACUUCUUACGGGUAUAACCACCCAUAUAUAGUGUGGUAUCGUUCUAUCACUCAUCUUUUUCUCACUUCACAUGGAUCUUCAUGGAAAAUAGUGGUAAUGACAAUGUCUUUUUAUUUAUUAUUCUAUUUUCUUCUAAUUAGAAAAACAUUUAACUUUUUAUUCUUAAUUCUUACAGAAUCGCAGUUUGCAAAAAAUACAUCUAUGGACUGGUCCAGAUACAUCGAAUAUAGGUCAUUGUGAUGAAAUUCAUCAAUUAAGUGCAACCACUUUAGAGGCUAUACACGAGGCUGAUAGGUUGCUUAUUCUCCUUAAUGUCGAUGAUACAGAGAGACAAUCAUCGGAUGAGGAGGUAGUGAUGAGAGAUGGUGGGGUACAAACUAGAGGUGGUGGAGUGCGGACUAGAGGUGGUAGGGUGUGGACCAAAGGUAGUGGGGUACAGACCAAAGGUAGUGGGGUAUGGACCAAAGGUGGUGGGGUACGAACUAGAGAUGGAGGUGUACAAACACGUGGAGGCCAUAUUUAUGAUGAUCCACACUUCCUUAUCAAUGAUGCAUCGCUAGAUUUUCCAUCAUCAUCGCCUUUACAACAUACAUGGACUAGAAGUGGAGGUGUACGAACACAUGGAGGCCAUAUUUCUAGUGAUCCACACUUCCCUAUCGAUGAUGCAUCGCUAGAUUUUCCAUCAUCAUCGCCUCUACAACAUACUACCUUCACUUUUUCUACACCACUUGACCAGUCACUACAUCAUUCAUCAGUUCCAUCCAUUGAUAAGGGGGUGAUAUAGGAAGAUGUUGGGACAUCAUUCAUCCAGGAGUUAUUGCAUUCUUAUAUUGAUGGGCCUUCUUUUCAUAUACCUAUGUCGUCUAGUAUCGAGGUGUCAUUUACUCCAACAACAGCACCACUCAUUGCUUUGUCACCACAAUCAUUAGGACAUCCAUUUAUAGAUGAUGUGACGACACAUAUUGCAAUACUUUCCUACACCACUUGUUGAACAACAAGGAGAGGAUCACUAUAGGAAAAAAGCCUUUCGUUGAUAAUUUUUUACCAUCAAGAUAGGGUAUAUCUGUCAAGGUAUGUUAUAAUUUAUAUAUGUCAUCUAUGCCAGUGUCAAGAAAAGUUUAAAUCUACCUUGACAUUUACAUAUGUCAAGGUUGUUUAUAUUUCUACCAAUGAUGGAAUCUUUGUUAGUCUGACAUACGUUAAUGUUUCUUUCAUUUUUGUCAAGGUUGGAUUCAACAUAUGUCAAGAUUUCUUGAUCUUAUGUCAAUGUUAACUUACUCUUCAAUUAAGGUUGCUACAACAAAUGUCAAGGAUAAGUAUAAUAUGUCAAGGUUUCUAGCUAUUGCAAUGUUAAUGUUGGGCAUUGGCCAUCUGUGAAGGUUGCCUAUGAUAAAUUUAAUAUUAUUUUACUAUAAUUUUUAGUUUUAAUGGAAAAUGAACUUGUUACCAUAUGAAACUUGUUUCCAAAUUAAAUUUGAUGCAUAUUUAAUUAUGAUAAUAAUAACUAAGUCCUAAAACAAUGUAAAUAAACUAUUACUCAAGGGAAAAAAUUAUUAUAUAUACAUUUGAAUAUUAAAAACACAAUGGAAUAAAUCUUUUUCUACUUACUCUCUCUUUUCUAUCUACAAAAAAAAAAAAAAAACUAAUUACAAACAUUCAAUUAAGAUAAUAUAUAAACUUAAAUUGAAAAGUACAAUACUAUAUUCGUAAGAGGUGGUCACUAAUUCUUCAUCUUCUUCUUCUUUUUGCUAUAUUUCUUGAAUACCUAGUAGGAUAGACACAACAUUAGUAGAAAAGUAAGCAACAAGUAUCAAAAUAGCAAUUUUCAAAUUAUAAGGUACUUUCAAUUGCAAGAAUACAUCAAACGUAUAUGCAAUUUGUAGAUACCAUAUCUCUAGCAUUAAUCUUCAAGGCACUGCCCUUUAGAAAGACCCCAAAAUCACCAACACCUCUAUCUCAAACCUAUGAUAGAAAAAAUAAAUGAUGUUAACAAAAAGAAAAGCUCAAAUUGAGAAAUUAGAUAUCUAACUACAAUGAAAUAUUUUUAAGAUUGAAUUCUAAGUUUAAUUAUUGUGUUUUUAUAUUAUGGACCUAAAUAACUACAAAAGUAUACUUCGUUUUAAUUUCUAAAAGGAAUGCAAAAAGGAAAGAGAAAAAAAAAAUUUCAAAUAUAUCUUUCAUGUUAUUUUGGCUUCUAAAUAGAUAAAAACUCACAUUAUCUAAGAAAUCGUUAAAAUUAAAGUUGAGUAUAAAUUUUAAUCAUCUCAAUCAUAAAUAAUGAAAUAUCUAAAUUCAAAUUCAUGGAAACCACACUAACUAUUAAUUUCAAGCACCAAAUGCAUCUAAACUUAACAAAAUAAAAAAUCAAGGAUAUUUUCCUUCGAUUCUAAUAGGAUAAUAGAUCUUAUGUGUGCAAAUUUUGUCUUUAUUUCAAGAACUAAUAAAUGCACAAGCUAUCUAGUUGAGAGAUUAAAUUUGUAAAUUUUUAAAAGAAAUAAAUUAAUUAAAUAAAUAAAAAAGGUCUAAGAAAUGGAAAAUCUCCAAAAUUAAAGAGAAAAUCAAGCACAUUUCAUAAAUGGGAAAAAGUUAUGCAAUAUGUUGCUAUUCUUUUCCAACUAAUGUGAAAUUGAAAACAUAUUUGACACAAAGUUGUGUGAGAAUACAUCUAUAAGGUUAAUAGAAAUAAUGUGUAGAUUGCCAUUUAAAGCUAUGUAAACUAAGAAUAACAAAUAGCAAAUUAUAUUAUUUAUAUCUAUGAUGCCUUGUUAAAAUACAAUGUCAAAUAUUCCAUAGAUAGACAACUACGCAUGAGUAUGAAAAUGUUGUCUAGAUGUUCCUCUCAUAGGCAGCUAAUGCAUGAGUUCAUCAAAUUCAAAACUUAACAACAAUUAAAGCCGACAAAGAACCCAAUUAUCAAUUAUUAAAGAACUCUUAAUUCGAGCAAAAACUAAAACUAAUAAAACAACUAAUAACAAAAUAUAAGAGUUGCAUUGGCACCCAAUAUAAUGUUCAUCUUAAUGUAAUUGUGCUCAUUAAAACAAAAAAUUUCAUGGCAUAAAUUAAUUGAAGACCCCAUAUAAGCAACAAGAAAAUACUUCAUACCAUUACAGUGGUAAUUAUUAAGGACUACAGAAACAAUUUUAGUUGGCUUGUGACUAUGAAUCGAAGAAUUAAAAUUUUGUGAGAGUUGAUUUAUUGCUUAUCAAUCAAAUAGCAUAUCAACAUUUAACAAAAGAAAGAGUUUCAAACAAUCAUGAAUCAAAACAUUAAAAUUUAGCCCUAAAAAAAGAAAAAAAAAAACAAAUAGAAAGAACCAAACCAAAGGAGCCCAAGUAAAAAAUUCAAGUGCAUAAAUAAGUAAAAUUAAAUAGUUAACCAUAUUAAAGAGAAAACUAUUUCACAUUAUGCAAAUUGUUUUUGUGUGCCCAAAUAUACAGUUUUGUUUCUUCAUAUAGCAUUAAAAGUCCAAUGGUAUCGCUAUACAACUGCAAAGGAAAUAGUAGAGAUAAAAUUUAAAGGUAAUCUACUCAUAAUUAUUUCAAUUAACACAUCCAAAUAUUAUGGAUCAACAAAGAAAUCAAUUUAAAGAAAACAAAACAUCAACCUUUACUAGCAUAAAACGAAAACAAAAUUUUUAAAAAAAAUCAUUAGAUAUCAGAUUAUUUUUUGGGCAACAAAAUUGAGACACAUAAUUGCAUUAACCAUUGAUGCUUAUAAACUCAAUUCGAAUCAUAAAAAUGAAAUUGAACAUGAAUUUCAAGCUUCAAAAUUGUGAACCAAAGAAACACUUAUAAAAUGUUAGAAAAGAAUGGGAAAAAAAAUCUAAAAUAGGAUAUUCCAAUAUGCAUUUUUUUUAGUUAUCUUCCUUAUUUUUCUAUAAUCAAAGAGAGUAAAAAGGGAAAAGAAAAAGUGAAGAUGACAUAGAAUCAAAUAAUAGAGUAAAAUUCACCAAUUAUCUUAAUUGAAAUAAUUUUUACAACAAUAAAACAUGAUACACGAUUACAUGAACAACCCACAGUUUAUUGAAUUAAUUCCUCAUAGAAAUGAUAAUUGAAACUUCAAAUUCUGAAAACAAAUUAUCAUACGCAUGAUCAUUGCGAAAUCCUAGAAAAUAACAAAUUAAAAAAAACAAAUUCAAACUUUCAAAAUAGGAUAUUCAAAGUUUUCACUUUAAUAGUUCUUUUUUCCUAUUAUUUUUCCACAAGCAGAUACAGAGUUGGUGGCAGUGUGGUAAGGUGCAAUGGUAAUUUAUGUUCAUAAAAGGAAAUACGUAUCCAUUAGAAAUUUGAUACAAUUUCCACAUAUAUCAUCACAUUUAUGUUCAUGCCUACUUGCAUAUAGGCCAAAUCCCUAAAAAAUUUUCAUGAAGAGAGUGAAGAUUGUCGCCAAUGUUGCCAAAUGUCAAACAACACAAUUACAAAACCCUAAUAAAUCAUAAUAGAUAAUGCAUCUAUGAUUCUCAUUUUUGUCACAGGGGAUAAGAAUAGGGUGAUGUGGAUUGAUUCAAUUGAAGAAAAUUCAUAAUAGAUUUGAGAAAAAGAAAGAGAGAAAGAGAGAGAGGAGAGGGGGGGGGGGGGAUGGUUAGUCUCACUAACCUAACGUGCCCUAACACCACCCAAAUAGGAAUAUAGCCAAAACCCUUGGGCCUUUAACCCACUGAGCUACAUAAGAGGAACCUUAUUUGACCCUCCAUUUCACAUCUGAUGGUCUUAAGUUUUUUAAACAAUUAUAAUUUAUUUAUUUUAUAUCCACUAUUCAAUUCAAUACAAAUAAAGCAAAAAAAAUAGGCUAAACAAAAAGAGAAGAUGGAAGGAUUUUGGGUGAGAGGCCUUGGAGAAGAUAAAACAAGAGUGUCGGUUUUUUUUUCCUUGGCGUCCAAACACAUCUUGCAGAGGCAAAAAGUUGGAAAAACUGAUCUGGGGUUGUCUUAUUUUCUAAGGAAAAUGGGUAUUUUUUUCAGAAAAUUUGCUUAUUUUUCUAUGUUUUUGCUACUAUGUGAUUACUACCAAAAAGUGCUAUUUUGUAGACCUAAUUAUAAUGGUUUUAAGCACCUUUGAGUAGUAAUCAUAUUCAUUUAACCCAAUUAAUUCAUUAAGGUCCUUAGUAAUUGGUUUUAACCAUUUUGUGGCAAGUUUACAUGUUUUUAUCAGCUUAUGAAUCAAUUCAAGCAUGCCAAAUGAUGGAGGAGCUACUUGGACAAGUUAUGGCAAAGCUUUUGGAAGCUCAAAUUCAUGAAGAACCAAGCUUUGGAGCUCCAUAUCCCUUUGCCAAAGUCGUUCAAAGUAUGCAAGGAAAAAACAAUGGAAAAGAGGAAAAGCAAGCAAAGUGAAGAGAAGCAAAGAGGACAGCAGCUGCAGUCUUAUUUCGCACUUUUGGAGCACUUCCCGAAGUCCAUUUUUUACAUGCUAUAUACCAUUUCAAAGCUCUGGAAGUCAAGAAUCCAACGCUUCAAACCGUGUAUGAUUUGGAGCUGAAAUGAAGAAGAUAUGGCCUUCGUAAGCCAACUGCUCCAGGUUAUGCGAAAUUCGCAUAACACCUUCAAAAUUCGCAUAACCCAUGCGUGUUGCGAAUUUUCCUCUGUUUUUGCCGACUCCACUUUAGAUAUUUUCCUUUGUAUUUUGUGAUGUAAUUUCCUUUCUUAUCCUUGUAACUAACCAAUCACAAGCUUUUGCUUUUGUAAAGACUAUAUAAGGGGUGGAAAUCACCUCUUGAAAAAUAGAAUACAUAUUACGUUUUACACUUAGAAAAGAGGGGAGAGCUCUCUCGUUUCUCUUUUCUCUUUACUAUUUUAUUUUCUUGGAAGCCAAACAGCCUUUGAGGGCUUUUCCUCAGAGGAUGAUUGACUAAAACUUUUAGUUUCUCAAAGUAUGGAUGUUAUGUGAUGGCUUGGAUGCAAUCCCAUGGAAAUUUCUCGCACCCGGAAGGUAAGGUAGUCGUUUUUCAUUAAAGGUUCAUUAAUGCAAAGUUUGGUUUUUAUUUCCUUUGGACAACUUCCAACGACCAAUACUUGAUAAGCUUUUGGAUUUCUAUCCAUUAGUUAUCUCCUACGAGCUAUUGGAAGGUGAGGUUUUCAAUUCCAAGUUUUGUAUUAAUCCAUUAGAACCAAUUUCAAUGGCCAUUGAAAGGUGAUUUUAUCACCUAGAAUGACUUUGAGUUGCCAAUAUUUGGUAAGCUUUUGGCUUUAGACCAUUAGUUAUCUCUUACGAGCCAUUCAAAGGAAGCCUAAGGUGAAUAACCAUUGAUGAAAUUCACUACCAUCUGUUUUGCCAUUUUAAAGGAUUAAAACUUGAUUUGCUAAAUCCAUACCGGUUCGGGAAGCAAGCAUCACCAUAGUUGCAACCCCAACGCGAGGAGCCUAUCUUGAGAUUUUCAAUUUGCAUAAGAGCCUGAGCAUAGCUAUCCUAUCUUUGAGAAACUUGUUUUUACACCCUUUCAUUUUAGUCUUUAAUGUUAGCUUAGAUUAGUUUAAAUCUUUCUAAAACAUUUACAUCUUCUUUUAAAGCUAACAUCCAUAAAAAAAUCACCUAUUUUCCUAAUUUGAAUAUCACUUGUGUUUGCGAAAACCCUUCCCAGUGAACAAUCCUAGAACCACUAUGCUAUAGUAGCUUGGCUACUUUAGUAAUAGUAUUCAAGGUAUAAAUUUUGUUGAUACACCUUUAAAGCUAAGCUACCAUGAGUCGCAUCACCAUGUAAUGGACUCUUCUCAUUGUAGUUCUUUUUCUAAUCUUUGGAGUUUCAUUCACUGUGGGUCAUUGUUUAUUUGUUGAAAUGCAGAGUAAUUAUAGAUAUUUUUGAAGGAUUUUCUUUGAUCUUGAGGUGAUUGGAAGAACGUUUUCUUGGAGUUUGUAGUAUUUUUUUUACCCUUAUAUUUUCUAGCGUUUUCUAGAGAAAAUUGAGAUGGGUGUUGUUAAUGUGGUGUCGUUUUUGUUGCAGAGAUAUAGAAAUGGAUAAGGAAGUGAAGAAUCAGAAAUGGUGUAAAGGUUCGGAACCAGACUUUCUGUUGAGGUGGGGGAACAGGAAGAGACUUAGAUGUGUGAAAGUCAAAGAUGGAAGAAAUGUUGUAGAUAAAUCAGACUGUUUGGGUAGCAAGAAAAUCACCUCUCAUGUUGAUCGUUGUGUUGUCACUGCCGAGAAGGAGACCCCUAUCCACAAACCCAUCGUCUGAAUAAGUAAUGACGACCAUAGGUGGCGCAUGAAGAGAAGGUGUGGUGGAGCUAAUAUGGGUGGCGACAAGUGGUUGUCAAUGGUGGACGAUGAGAAUGAUGGCAGAAGAGGUUGCCGUAGUGGGAUCGUAGGAAUGGUGUGCAGCCGACUGUGGUUGGCGUAGCCAACAGUGACGACGAGGGAUGGCAUGGUGAAGAUGGGAAGGUGAGAGAGUGAGAGAGGGAAAAAAAUGGAGAGAGAGAGAGAAAGAGAAAGACAACGUCGAUUGGUGGCGUCACCGGAUUGAUAGUCGCGGUAUUGUUGAGAUGGGUGAGUGGCAUGGGUAUGGAGAGAGAACGGGAAAGAAAUAGGAAGGAGGAAAGAAGAAAAAACAGAGAGAGAAUGGAUAGUGGCGGUGGCAGAGAAGUGGGAGAGAAAAAUGUGAUCUCUUAGGGUUCUUUGAAAUGAAUGGUAGAGAUGAGAUUAAAAAAUAAACGGUCCAGAUUUCACCAACAUUCAUCUUAUCACACCAAAAUUUAAGUUCUUAUUCUAUCAGUUAACUUUAUGAGAAUCAAUUUAUGGAAUAUAUUUAUAACUUUUAUAAUGUCAAUUUACCAUAAUUAAUUUUCUUCUUUCCUAAUGUCUAAAUUUGUAUGAGUUAACUUAAAAAAUAAAAUUUUGAAACCUAAUAUUAUGCCCAACAAUUUAUAAAUCAAAAUUUCAAAUAUCUUAAUUUUCAAGCUUACACAAAUUUAUUAAUUAUUUUUAAAUCAAAUACAAGUUAAUUACUAAUUUAAAAAUAAUAAAAAUAGUUUAUGAAAAAAAGAUUUUAUUAAUACAAACUCAAAUAAUAAUAAUAAUAAUUAACAUCAAUGAAGAAAAAAAAUAGUUUAUUAGUAUUGAUUUUAUUUAUAUCUAGUUAUAAAAAAAACCAUAAUGUAGCAAAUUUUAUUUCACUAAAAUUAGUGAAUAAAAAAUGGUUUAUAAAAAUUUAUUUCAUUGCUAUUGAUAUAGACUAAAAAACAAUUUAAUCAAUUUGAUAAAAAAAAUGAAAAUUGAUAUUACAUUACUAAAAAAAAUUUAUUAAUAAACAUUGUCUCUUUUAUUUUUUUCUAAUAUUUUUCCUCAUUUUUUGGGANNNNNNNNNNNNNNNNNNNNNNNNNNNNNNNNNNNNNNNNNNNNNNNNNNNNNNNNNNNNNNNNNNNNNNNNNNNNNNNNNNNNNNNNNNNNNNNNNNNNAAAUGAAAAUUGAUAUUAACAUUACUAAAAAAAAUUUAUUAAAUAAACAUUGUCUUCCUUAAUCAAAAUUGAUUGUUGUCACUUCAAUUUAUAAUACUUAGUAAGUAAAUUAGAUAUACACAUAUCAAACAAAUUAUUAUCAUUAUUGCUUUUAUUUAAGUACCUUGACAUAUGAACAUACUAACUAUAUAUUAACUUAUAAAUUAUCUAAUUCUAUUCUAUAAGUCAUGAAAAAAUUCAACAAAUUUUAUAUAUGUCAUUAUUGGUUUAAACAAGUUUUAUAUGUCAUAGUUGUUCAUUUAAAUAGGCAAUAUUGACACAUAUCACCUUAAGUCAAGAUAAUAUAUGUCAACAAUGACCUUUUUUCUUAUAGUGGAUCAGGUUCAAGAUUAAGGAUGUGGAUGAGGACGAGGACGAGGAUGAGGAAAUGAAGCAACAUUAGAUGAUUCCUCAUAUCAAUCCAAGUUGGAAAGAUGUCACCAACACCCACACCGAAGAAGAAAGCCUCUUUCAUGUGGCACACAUUGAUGACUUUUAUAUAUUUUAUUGAACAUAAUUUGACGAUACAUGUUGCUCUUUUGUUGCUUGUUGGUUUAUUUGUAUUGAUAAUGCAAGCUAACUUUUAUUGGUUGUUAGUUUAUUAGUGAUGUAUGUUAAUUUAUCGUCUGCUAAUAUUGAAGUUGUCAUCUUGUAAUGUUGAAUUUUAAUAUUUUAGCUUUGUUGGUAUUCAUUAUUAUUAUUUUGUUAGUUGUUAGGAUGUUUGUUGGUUUAUUAGUUUAUAUAUAUAGACAAAGUAUUGGUUUUUUUUUUAUUCAUAAUAGUAGUUGAUUUUUGAUCAUUUAGUAUUUGAAUACGUUUUAUUGUUUAGAGAUUGAACUUAUUAAUACAAGUUAUCGGUUGAUAUAUAUAUAUAUAUAUAUAUUCUUUGUUGAGGGUUCAUAUGAAUAAGGUUAUUAGUUUUUUUGCAUUCAUGAUAAUAAUUGAAUUUCUAUAAUGGUUUAUAUUUUAUUAAUUGUUGGGCUGUUUGUUAGUUUUUUAGUAUUUACAUAAAUAAUGUUAUUGGUUUUUUAUAUUCAUGAUAUUUUUAUUUUAUUUUAUUCAUUUUAUAGUGAAAUUUGAAAUUAAAGAUUAAUAUUUUUAAUUUUAAAAUUUAUAUAAUAAUAUUAAUUUAAAAAUUAAAACAAAAUAAGAUUAUUAUUUUAUAAAUAAUUAUUUAAUAAAUUACUAACAAAAUUGUUUUUUAUAAAAUCAUUUUUCACAUAAACAAAAAAAAAGAUAAAUAUUAUUUAUCUUAUAAAUAAAAAAAUAUCAAACCAAAUUAAUUUUAUUAGUUGUAAUUAAUUGAAUUAAUUUAAAGAAAAUUUGAAUUAAGGACAAUUAAAAUUAUUUAACUUAUUUUUUUAUAUUUUAUUCAUUUUAUAGUGAAAUUUUAACUUAAAGAUUAAUAUUUUUAAUCUUAAAAUUUAUAUAAUAAAAUUAAUUUAAAAAUUAAACAAACAAAUUAUUUAUUUUUUAAAUAAUUAUUUAAUAAAUUAAUAACAGAUUUGUUUUUUAAACUCAUUUUUCACAUAAAAUUGAUAGUAUAUUUUUUUUUUAAUUCCAAAGUGAAAGAAAAAAAUAAUAGAUAAAUAUUAUUUAUUUUAUAUUAAAUUCAGUAUACUAUUUAUAAAUUAGAUUUAGUAAAUAAAAUUAAUUAAUUUUAUAAUAUAUAUUUUUAAUAAUUGUAUUAUUGUAUAAGUAUAAUAGGGAAUGGAAAAAUGGAUUUUUAAAGUUUUUUUUUUUUUUUUGAAAAAUCAUCUCUUGAAGACACAAUUUCUAACGUUUUUGUUUUUGUUUUUUUUUAUUUAAUAAAUUAAUAAAAAAAAUUUAAACUCAAUUUUCACAUAAAAUUGAUAAUAUUUUUUUUAAGAAAAAUUCCAAAAUGAAAGAAAAUAUAUAUAUAUAUUAUUUAUCUUAUAUUAAAUUUAGUAUAUUAUUUAUUUAUUAAAUUUAGUAAAUAAAAUUAAUUAAUUUUAUAAUAUAUAUUUUUAAUAAUUGUAUUAUUGUAUAAAUAGAAUAAAGAAUGAAAAAAAAAAUGGAUUUUUUAAGGUUUUUUUUUUAAAGUGAGAAUUUCUCACUUUUGUGCUGCCCACUUUGCUUUUUGUUUUUUUAAGGAUUUGUCAUGUGAAAAUCGUUUCUUCAAGGACGAUUUCCCACUUUUUUUUUUUUUUUUUAAGUGAGAAUUUCUCACAUAUAUAUAUUUUUAGUACAAAUCAUCUCUUUAAGAGACGAUCUCUCACUUGGUUUUAUUUUUAAAUUUUUUUUAAAAAUCAUCUCUUGAAAAGACGAUUUCUCAUUUCUUAAAUUUUUUUAUUUUUUAUUUUUUGAAAAUCGUCUCUUCAAGAGACGAUUUCUCUAUGAUUUAUAUUUUUAAAAAAUCGUCUUUUGAAGAUACAAUUUUUCACUUCCAAUUUAUUUCCUCUUUCCUACUUGAACAAAAAUACGAUAGAUUUGAAAUUAUUUUUCCUACUACGGUAAUUUAAGAAUUAUUUUUUAAAAUUGUCGUAUUCUCAUAAAAAAUCCCAUUUUUAUCUCUUUGGUAGCAAAAAGUUUCACAAUAACAAUUACUUGACAAAAUAGAGGCAUCAUUUGCUUUUGCUAAUUAAAAUAUUGACUUACCAAUCCAAACAAUGGAUGGACCAUCGACCCACACUCACCAUCAAUAGAUAGACAUCCAUAUUAGUUGUUGCUCCUUGCCAUUGGGAAAAGAAAUUUGGAGAUCCUAGUUGGGGUUAAAAUUACUUAAUCAAUCCAUCUUCACCUACCUUUCUACUAAAAUCAUUUUAAAUUCAUUUAUUAAAAAAAAAAUGAUAGUCUGGUGAAUAAAUUAUUAAAUUUAUCCAAAUAUUUCUAAUAUAUUUAAAUUCUAAAAUUAAAUCAUUCAAAAAUUUUAAAUAUGAUUUCAUAUCAAUUUUUUUAUUUGGAAUUUAUUUUUAAAAGCCUUUUUAAAAAAUAAAAUAAAAGAAAAUUGUUUGACCAUUUUUAUUAGUUCAUUCAAAUUAUUAAAAAUAUUAAAAAUUGUAUGUAUAAUUUCCCUUACCAUGCAGAGUCUUUGGAAUUGAAAGUCGUUUGGUUUUAAUUAAGAUGUAUAUUUUAUUAAUAUAACCUAUUGUAUUAUCAGUGAGACAGCUGGGACUGCACCUUUUUCUAUAUAUGGAGUCUGGCCCAUAUAUAUAUUCAUAAAGCGCUGGGCCCGAUUUUAAGGACAUUCUGUUGUGCGGAGUCUGGCCCAUAUAUAUAUUCAUAAAGCGCUGGGCCCAAUUUUAAGGACAUUCUGUUGUGCGGAGUCUGGCCCAAAUAUACUUAUAAAUCGCUAGGCCCGAUUUUGAAGACAUUUCAGUAAUUUCAUGCCAAAGUUAUUAUAAAACUUCAAAAUCUCAUUGCAAACUCUUUGCCACCUGUGCCAGUAUAAAGAAAAUGAAAAAAUAUUAGAAAAAAGAGAUGGUAUUGCUUGUCCUAUUCAGAGGAGUUGUGACAUGGUGAAAUUAGGAUAAUAAUUAGGAGUCAAAUCUUUGAAGGUAUGUUUGGUCCGAUAUAAAAUAUAUAAUAGAGAAGAAAAGUGAAAUAAAAAAAAUAAAUAAAUAAAUAAAUAUUUAAUGUUAAUAAUUUUAUUUUUAUAUUACUUCUUAUUCUUUUCACUUAUUUAGGUCUUUAUAUAUAAAUAUUAAAUAAUUUAAAAAUAUAUAAUUUUUUAAUAAUUUUAAUUAUAUGUAUUUUCAUAGUAAAGUCAAAUAUGAUAAAGUUAUUUUUUUGAUAUUUUUUUUGAACCAAUGUUAAAGAUUUCAAUUUAUCAUGCAUUUUCUAAAAAUUUUAAUUUAAACUCUUAUCUUUUACCCCCACAAAAUAAAACAAACACAUGAAUGAAUUGGUAUUUUCUCCAUCAUAAUUAUUGUGAAGAGACAUCCACAAUAAUUAGUCUCACACAGUUUAUUUGUGAAAAUGUAUGUAUAGCCAAAAACGAACCACACUUAAAAUCAAGUCAAGUUCUAAUUGUUCAAGUUGACUCUGUAGUAAUAAGAUCAUCUAAGCCUUAUUUGGCUACUCUGGGAGCAGCUCUGUUCAUGGACAUUAUGGGGAAAUCAUUUACGAAGGAGAUACAUAAGUUACAUUUAUAUAUGAAAAAUCAAGAUCUGGUGAUAUAACGUAGAUUAAAAAUAAGCUUUUUAUUGCAAUUGUGACUCAAAUAAUUUCUAAAGCACCUAUUCUUAAAAUUAAGAGUCUAGUCGUACUAUUUAAAAACAGUUUUUUGUUUUUAAAAACAAAAAACCAUUUUUAAAAUUUUACAACAUUAUUUGGUCAUUGUUCUUUGAAAACAUUUUUUUAAAACAAAGUAAAAUAGAGAAUAAUUUUUAAAGUACAAGUAAAAAUUGUUUUCACCAUUUUUAAAAACAAAAAGAAAAUAUGGACCUAUUUGAUCAUGUUUUUUGAAAGUUGCUUUUAAAAACUAUUAUUUGUUCUUUAACUAAAAAACAAAUUUUUAAAAAAGGUUUUAGAAAAUAUUGCCAAACAGGUCAUAAUAUUUAGCCUCCUUCCCUAUCAUGCAUGAUGGAGUAAAUGACAUUAUGGCAGCUUAUAAUAUAAUACUAGUAGUAUGCUGUAUAUAAUACUUAUAGAACAAUAACAAAGAAAAACACAGUGAUCAAGAGAGAAAAAGUGAAAUAUUACAUAAACUAUUCUAAAAAAGCAGGGAAAUUACAUAACCUCCUUUCUUCUUCUUCCAUGGCAGCCUGCUAUAGCAGCACCAUGGAUACACACCACUUGAAGAUCACGCAAAAAGUCAAAAUGAAAUAUAACAUAUAUAUGCGUCCAUAAUCAACAUUUAGUACUAGGAAAAGGAGGUACAUACUAUUUUUGUAGCAAAACACUGCGCAUAUAUGCAUAUUACCAAGGUGGAGGCGGGCGCCAUGGCCGAGGCUGCCAAUAAGGGUCUAAGAACGGCGGCGGAGGAUGACCGGGUGGUCCGGGAGGUGGAGCAAAAGGGGGAGGUGGGGGUGGAGGUGGACAACCUGGCCAGUAAGGAGGCGGAGGAGGAGGAGGAGCAAAGAAAUCAGGAUGUGGAUGGUGAGGCGGUGGUGGUGGGGGGUGAAAGUGUGGUGGCGGUGGCGGUGGUGCAUACGGACCCGGAAGUGGUGGUGCGCAAGGAGGUGGAUGUCUAUGAAAGGGCAUUCUUUUUGAUACUUAGCGUUGAAGGUAAAAGAGGAAAUUAAUGUAUGGCAAGUGCAGGGGGUGGACUUAUAUACCGCUACUAUAGACUAUAGAGACCAUAAGGUGGAAAAAAAGGAAGGGUCUAGACAAAAUUGGAGGGCUGGUAGUUGAAAGACUAGUAGUUUAAAAAAAUGGUUCAGAUUCCUCUCCCCAGGACCUCUACACAUUUGACAGAGAGUGAAAAUAAAUAAAAUAAAAAAUACGAGAUUUCAAUUUAAAGAAAUAUUUAGCCAACUGAUGAAGAUAGGGUAUCUAGCUAGGUUUGGAACUCGGUUGGUGACUGUCUAUGUGUAAAGUUAGGGCUUGUUUGGUUGGUGUUUUCAAUAACUGUUUUCUGCUCUUGAAAAUAAAAAAUACUAAAAACUUGUUUGGUUGAGAAAGUUGUUUUUUGUUUUUCUUGUUCUUCGUGUUCUCAAAAUGACACUUUUUAGAGAACAAAAAAAAUGAUGUUUUGCCCGUUUUUUUAUUGUUUAUAAAAUAAAAAAAGUCAUAAAGAGAAUAUCUGUGAUGUCCCACAUCGGAUAGGGGAGAAUGUUCCUGGCGCUAUAUAUGUAGAGACUCCUCUUAACCAAGUAGACGCGUUUUAAAGCCGUGAGGGCCCUCUUGGGCCCAAAGCGGACAAUAUCUACAUGGUUGGGUGCGGGUCGUUACAAAUGGUAUCAGAGCUGAUCCCUGACCCCGGUGUGGGGGUUUGUUUGGCUCCGUAAGGGGGUGUUUGUCUGUUUGGUCCCGUAAUCCCAUGGGACACAACGAGGACGUUGUGUCUGCAUGGGGGGGUGUUUGUGAUGUCCCACAUCGGAUAGGGGAGAAUGUUCCUGACGCUAUAUAUGUAGAGACUCCUCUUAACCAAGUAGACGCGUUUUAAAGCCGUGAGGGCCCUCUUGGGCCCAAAGCGGACAUAUCUACAUGGUUGGGUGCGGGUCGUUACAAUAUCUGUUCUCCAUGGCUUUUUUUUUUUUUUUUAAUCAUGUGUUGUUAGUUUUUUUUUUUUCUAUUUAUAUUUUCCUGUUUAGAUGUUGAGAAAAGUGGGGAACGAGAAUGAAAACAGAAAAAAAAAAAAAAAAAAAAUCCUGAUUUUUCCCAUUUCUCAGUUUUGAUUUUUCUUGAGUUGUUUUGUUCAAAAAAACAAAAAACUUGCUUAAGGACAUGGAAGAAAAAGAAAAGGAGUUGCUUUGAGAGGGUUUUGCAGGUGACUUUUUCUUAGUUUUGAAGAAUAUGAGAAAUCGGUUGAGGGUAAGGGUAGUCAUUUGUAAAUAAGGUAAUAAUAUUGGGUAAACACUUUUCUCAAUAGUGGAAUGGGCAGAGAUAUUUUGAAGGGACAUGGUUGGUAAAAAAAAAUCCAAACAUAAAGUGCAAAUUUCAAAGCAUAUUAGGUGGUAAAAUCUAUUGGUCAAUCCAAGCAAAAUACAAUCUUCAGCCCUGGGAUCCCUUGGAAAGUGAUUAUCUCCUUCCUUGCAUUUAUUUUCAUGUCCUAUUUAUUUUAUUUACAAGCUUGUUAGGUGAAGAUUAGUUAUAAAAAUUAAAUUAAUUCUUUUUAAAAUUUUUUAUCUCAUCUUAAUAAAAUAUACUAUAAUUUUUAAUAAAAUUAAAGAUUAAAUCAAGAAAAAAAAAUGUUAAUGACAAUGAUUUUAUCAUGUUUGAUUUAUUUUAAAAAAAUAUAAAAAAUAUUUUUAUUUUAAAAUUAAUAAAAUAAAUAAUUUUUUUAAUUUAAAUGAACUGUGUAUCUAAAAAUUAUUUAUAAAUUUAUAAUAUAAAGUUACUUGAAGAAAACAUUUUAUUAAUUGGAAAAGAAAAAAACAUCUUUCAAACAUGUUUUUUGUUUUACUUGUUCUAAAAAACUUUUUUAUUAACUCAAUCAAACAUGUUUUUUUUUUUUUUUUUUUUAGAACAAAAACUAUUUUCCAAAAUUCAGUUCUCAAACACAAUUUUUUUUUCUAAAAACACCAAAAACUGUUUUUAAAAACCAUUUUCAAAAACCAUUUUCCAAAAUAGUUUUUAAAAAUAGCAACCAAACAUGCCCUUAGUUUCUGCUAGCCUUUCAUAUGCAUGCAUGUUCCACCAAUAGUUAGGAUUUGGAGGACUGAAAUUACCUCUUAGUAGCACAUGAUUGUUUGUCCAAUUUAGAGUCCGUUUAAUAGUAAUUUUAGGAGGUGUUUUUAAUCUUUUUAACAUUUAAAUUUUUUUAUUAUUUAAGUAUUAAAAAUAUUAAAAACGUUUUCCAGAAUUACUGUAAAACACACUCGGUAUAUAAUUUUAUUUAUGUGGAUUAUGGAAGCAAUUAAUAGAAGUGACCCAAUUUGUACCAAGUGAGGACCAUACAGAUAAUUUAAAAAAGUCAAAAUAGGAGUUAGACUUUUGACGCAACAAAAUGCUUUAAAAAGACCUAUAUUUUAGUGGGUAGAUUAAAAUAUAAUUGUGUUCAUGUCAUGAUCAUAGACAUAUAGUGCUCAUUUUGACUAUUCAAUUCGUCCAACCUACUUAAUAGUGUAAAAAUGAUUAAAUUUAUGACUCAACCUAUUUAUGACCCUCUUAACCCAUAUAAAUGUAUUAAUUUUAUAUAUUUGAAAUUUUUUUAAAAUUAAAUGGUUUUUAAUUGUAAAUAUCAUAUAAUUAAAAAAAUUAAAUAACUAACCACAUAUAAUUUUAUAUAUUUUAUUAUAGAAAUUACAAAUAUUUUAUAAUUAAAACAUUAUAUAAAAUAAUAAACAAGUCUAAAUUAAAAUUAAAAUUUACUUUUAUAUUUUAAACAUAUUAUAAUUAAAAUUUAAACUUGAAAUUUUAAGCAACUAAAAAUUAUUUUAAAAUAAAACAUUUAUAAAUUAAAAAUUUUAAAUUAAGAAGUUUAAUCAGUUCAAAUCAUGUUGAUAUAUUUAACAAGUUUGAAACGUGUUAACGGGUUUAAUGAAUUAGACUCAUGUUAUAAUAGGUUAUCUAUAUCAAUUCAUACACAACUAUUUUUUUCUUUUUUAACACAUAAAUAAAAAAAUGUUUCUUAUAAAAAAAUUAUAAAAUUAUAUAAUAUUUAUUUAUUUAUAAAUUAUAUUUAUUUUGUAUAUAAUUAAAAAAAUUUAAAAUGAAAAAAAAAAAUUUUAAAUUAAAUGGAUGAGGUGGAGACUAGUAUGAGAAAUUUUAGUACUCAUUUAAAGUUUUUUAGAUGAGGAUAAAAUUUAUUUAUAUAAUCUAGGUGGCGUUGGGAUUAGAUGAUCCACCUUGUUGCCAUCCCAAUUUUUGGUGCACUUUUCUACAAGUUUUACUUAAUUAAUUUCUUGCUUUUAUUUUUGAAUGGGAGGGUUCCUUAAUAUGAAGUGAAUACAAUACCAGUUCCAAAGGUACGACUUUUGUGACGUUCAACAUCUAUUUGAAUCUAAUACGACAAUGUGUUGAGUAAGGAUGAAAGAAAGAGAAAGAGACGGUGACAUGGAAAGCAGAGAGAACUAGUAAAAAUAUAAGGUGACACAUUCCUUUCAAGUAGGAGAGGGCAGGUAAAUAAGUGCUGAGUACAUCAAGGAGAAUUAUCAUAAUAAUGUUUCUAUCCAUUUCCUACUUUAAGAAGUCACAACUACUCCCAAACUAGAAGUCUUAUCAAUGUUUAACUAUUAUUUUAGUAUCGUUACCCAAUAAAUUAUACGAGGAAAUAUCCUUUGACAUCGAUCAUGUUACACCUGUUUAAACCAUUACUAUUGCAAUUCUUACAUAUACAUCAAGAUAGUGUUAAUUUUUUGGUCAAAUAAAAUCAAAAUAUUUGAUUUUUUUCUCUUUAAUUGAAAGUAACAUGUUAAUAUCAACUAAAAAUAACAAAUUCACUUUACUUAUGUCGGUUGAUCUCAAUAAAUUACUUUCAAUUGAAUAAAAAAAUAAUAAAAUAUUUUGACUUUUUUUAUUCAAUAAAAAAACAAAGCCAAUCAACUAGCAAAGAAACGUAACCACCCUUUGGUCAUAUAGUACAAACUAAUCAAUUUACAGUGAUUAGUUCCCAAGGCUUCUAUCAAGUUUGAAAAUUGGGAGAUUGAUGCUUAAAUAUAACAUUUAAUUUAUUGCACCAAAGUUAACAUCCUUGGGAAAAGUCGGAUGUAACAUGGUCUUUAUAGUAUUCUUAUUGAAUUAAUAUAUAUAAAUUAUUUUUUAAUCAACCCUUGUUGUCUUAGUAAUAGUAGACUAUUUGGUGAAAAGAACCGUGCUUUGACAAUUUGUCAUCGCAGUGUAUUGUAUUAUUUAUAAGAGAAUAGGCAACUCUACAUGUAAGUAUAUUUAUAUGUAAAGCUGAAAUAGAAAAGAUAUAUACAGACUUGCGUGAAUUAACUUUCCUAAAUAAAGAUGCGUAAAUCGUGGCUGUCAAGAUUGGCUUUCAUCAACCGUGAGGUCUAACUGCACGUCGUGGUUAGCUUUACUAUUCGAGGUUCCGUCAAUCGUCGAUAACCUAACACCCCCCACACCACCCCGCAAGCAAAUGGGGAGGUCGCAUACCAUGAGCUUGUCACAUAGCAUCUGAAAACGGGCAGAAGACAACCCUUUGGUGAAGAAGUCACCAAUUUGAUACUUUUUCACAUAUAAAAUGAAAAUCAACCUCGAUAUGUUUAGUGCGUGCAUGGUAAAUGGGACUUGCUGCAAGGGCAAGACCAUACCGUAGGUGGUGAAAGCAAAGUGACUAGGAGGUCUUUCAACAACAUACGUAUCCAAUAUAAUUCGGUCACCACCAUUGCUAGUGCCAGACCGAGACACCACGCUUUGUUUUCUUGCACACCGUGAGACGAGACAUGGACCAAGAAAUAUGUUGUAUCCAGUAGUUGACCUCCUGUUUAUGGCAUCUCUAGCCCAGUCUACGUCAUAGUAGGCUGUGAGUGCGAGUGUUCUCUUGCUGAAGUAUAUGCCAUGGUUGACAGUACCUUUCAGAUACCUUAAAAUUCUAGUAGUUGAUUUCCAAUAGAUAUCAGUAGGAGCAUGAAAGUGUUGACUGAGUAUGCAAUUCCUGGUCGGGUCAACGUGCAAUAUUGCAGAGCACCCACAACUUGCCUAUACUACAUAACAUCCAAUUUGAUUUUGUUUAUUAUUCCUUCAAUCUUGGCUUUAAUGCAAGUUUAGUGGUUAAUAUAUAUGUACUUAUUCCUCCAAGUAUAGAUCAAAAGGACAUCGUAUAGGCCAAAGGCCCCUACAUACUUUCAGAUUCAUCCAAGUGAAAAAGACACGAUUACAUUCUUCUAUAUACACCACUCUUUGCGGACGAAAAGAUAUUUUAUAAUUAUAAUUUAUAAUUAAUUAAAAUAAAAUUAUUGUAAAUAAGUUAAUUUUAUUAUCUUAUUAUAUAUUUUGUAUAUUAAUUAAAUACAAGGCAAAUAUAAAUUUAUAAAUAAAAUAUUAAUAUCUCAAAAUAAAAAAAAAUACUUAUCUAAGUAUCAUUAUUUAUUUUUUAUUUUUUUAUAUAUUCAAACUAAACACAUUAUCAUUUUUACUAAUAAUGUAUUUUUGAAUUAGUAUAUUAUUAUCUAAUGUUACAAAUUUAUUAUUUAUAUUAAUUUUUUUUUAACAAAACAGUUUCAAUAUAUGUGGUAUUACUUAUUUUGAAAUUUUCUAAUAUAUUUUUAUUUUAUCAAUAUUUUAUGUUAAAAUAUUGAUCGAUGUUUUUCAAUAUAUCCUGAUAUAUGUGUAAAAUCAAGAUACUGAUACAUUUAUUGAAACAGAUAAUAUUAAUAUUUUCAUCUUGGUUUUCAUACAUCCUCACCCUAAAAAUAAUCCCUAAUAUAAUGAGAAAACCCCAUGGACCUCUACAUUUUGACAACUUUUUCUUCUCCCAUACCCACAUAAUCACAUAAGACACUUUCAAGGAAGACCGAAUAAGCUAAGUCUGUGAAUUCCAUUGCAUAUUGCAGUUGUGAAUCAUUAGCAAUGAACAUUGGGCCCGGCUCAUAUUGGCUUUGGAAUAAUUUAGAUAUGUUUCGUUUAUGUUAUUGUAAAUCAAAUUUUGUUUAGGACACUACUAGAUAACAAAAUUUUGUUUCUAGCCAAUAACUUUAAAUGUCAUAUGUUCAUCGCCACAGUUUGCCCUUUUGAAUCCAAGUAUAUCGCUAGCUAGAUUAUUAAAAAAAAAAGAAAAAAAAAAUGCAAGAUGUCGAUGAUAGUAAUAAUUUAUUCCGCCAUAGAAUCUACAAUAGGUAUGUAAUAGCAAGAUAUAAGCGAUUAAUAAGAACCAUCACUAGUAGCCAUGGUUACAGAGAGAGAAGAAACUUAUAUUAUGCAGAAUUCACGGAGCUGCAAAAGCACACACCUUCAUCUCCAACUUCUUUUCUGUGUUACACAACCUUUACAUAUGGGGGCACGCAUGCUAAUAAGGUGGUGGAGGGCGGUGGUGAGGCCAGUGGGGCGGGGGAGGACCUGGUGGUCCGGGAGGCGCUGGUGGACUGUACGGCCCCGGGGGUGGUGGUCCUGGUGGCCCUGGUGGUGGCGGCGGUGCAAAAGGAUCAGGUGGUGGUGGGUGGUGCCAAGACGGAGGAGGAGGCCCUGGUGGCCCUGGUGGCCCCGGUGGCGGUGGUGGCGCAAAAGGAUCGUAUGGUGGUGGUGGCCGCCCUGGUGGCCCUGGUGGGGGCGGCGCAUAAGGAUCGUAUGGUGGCGGAGGAUGCCUGUGGUGUGUCAUGUUCUUGAAACUUCUGGGAGAAAAUGUUACAGAAGCUAAAGCAGAGAUGGGUGGUGUUAAAUGGCGGAACUUGCUUAUAAACAGAUAGAAAUCACACAAUCAAAGAGACUAGUAGUUGGGAAGAGCGGUGGGUCAAAUCCUUUCACAUGGGAAAAACGACUGGUAGCUUAUGACAUCUCU